CCGGAGUUUAACCUUUUCCGAGGUUGCCUAUGGAAAGAGUGUGGCAUUGAGGUGGAUGUUGAGAAUGGUUCGUCCAAGAAUGAUUCGACUUGCGCUAGUUCGGCUCAGGAUUGAAUAAAGAUGAAGAAUAAAUGUGUGAUUUUGGACCUUGGUGCCGACUAGUGCGUGUAGUUAGCUUUGUUUAUAAAAGUAGUAAAUCCACAUGCAAAAAGGACCAAUUUGCUUUGGAUUAAGGUUAUGUUGGGAGCUAUCUAUGAAGUUUACUCAUAUGAUCUGAUAUAAGCUAUUCCUCAUUUUUAAGUCUCCUAUAAUUUAACUUGAAAAUAUCAUUUAUUCUUCAAGUCGUAUUUCAUUUCUUGAGUAUUAUCAUAUAUAUUUAUGAAACAAUGAGCAUUAGGAGAAGAAUGCAUUACCUGCGCAAAAUCAACUUUGGUAAAAAUCUCAACUUUUUGCUUUAAGGAAAACAGGCAUUUGGCCUUGGUUGUUUAUUUAUGAGCCAUUUUUGGGUGGUCGUACACACAUUUGGCUCACUAAUGGAUAAUGGCGUUGAGAAGGAAAAGAGGGGUGUAUGAUGAGCAAUUGAGCCAACUGAAUUUGCAGCUGGAAUCCACUCCUAUUCAAAGUUUGGAGCCUGACUAGACCUGGCAAUAAAAUGUAAAGGUGCUCUUAUGUAAAUCUCACUGGAAUACAUAUGAAAAAUAAAAAAACUAGUGAAUUAAGAAUGAACACAAACCUGCAUAGAAAGCUUUGCUACAAUGGAAGUAGAAGCAUAUGAAACUCGUAAAUAAACUACAACCGAUGACAUGGAAUAGAGGUAAAAGCAAGUUUCCAAUAUUAAUCUGAGAUAAACCUCUGUUGAACUUACAUUGUAUGAAAUGUCACUAUAUUUUCAAAACACAUACUACAAACCAAGCUAGCUAAUAUCUAUCGACAUUCAUUUACUAAUUCAUGAAUAACGAACCAGUAAGCAGGAAGUUUAAAACGAAACAUGAAGUGUACAAGUGUUACCAUACAUGUCCAGUGAUUGAUUAUGCAGUGUAACUUUUGGCAUGAGGUACCAACUAGACAAAACAAGAUUAAAAUGCAUAUGAUCCGUUACCGACCACACAAUUAAGUGAAUUUUCACACAUGUAAACCGAAAUUUCAUUCUGUUUGUACCAUACUUGACCAAUCCCGAAACUACUGAGCAUCGGUCAACGUUAUACCAUCAAAGACCCAGAAGAGUUUCCCUCCAACCAGGAGGCCAAUCACAGCGCGACACGUGUCGAUAUCAGAAGCCAAUCAUAGCGCGACACGUGUCAACAUCAGAAGCCAAUCACAACACGACACGUGUCGAUGUCAGAAUGAAACUAGAAACUCUCUUCUAUAAAUAGAGAUCAUUCUCUCACAAUAUUUCCUAAUGUCAUUUGUACUAAAUCAUUCACUUGUACUCACUAAAGGAGAGCUUGAACCAAUGUGUUCACUUAUCCAUAAUAAAUUUUAAAAGGAUGAAACUUUUAAGGCUAAAUUGCCAAUUUGCCCCCUAAACUAUCACUUGACUUUCGAUUUCCUCCCUUAACUUUUUAAUUGGAAAAUUAAGGACUUGAACUUAUUUUUUUUUGCCUAUUCCCCCCCUACCGUUAAUUUUUCAUAGAUUUCAUCCAAAAUAACGUUAACUCUUAUCACGUGUAUACCACGUGACUCUCUUUUGUGGACAAAAAACGUUACUUCGCUAGACCUUCAGACACAAAAGCUAUAGAAUCACACAUAUUUGCAUAUGUUUAUAUUUUAAAAAUCUAAAGUUUUCAAUUAUUUUAAAGAAUGAAGCGACCGAACUAUUCUCACAUGUUGUGCACAUGCUUCUAUCGAAAGCCAAGUGAUAGUUCAUGAGGCAAAUUAACAGUUUAGCCUAUUAUGAUUAACCGAGUGGGAGACUUAACCCACUCACACAUGCCUUAAUGUAGAUAAUAUCCUUGUUACAAAAAACGAUUAUUUGUGAUAUGCGAUAUGGCCUAAUUAUCUCCUCGUAACUGUUAGAAUUUAAAAUGAAAAAAUUAUAAUAUUUUAUGGAUAUGGAUACCGGCCCGGCCCGCUUGGCCCAUGAAACAAAGUCUACUAUCUUUAAAAUCCGAGGCCACACCUUUUCCCCUUUCACUUUAGGGUUUGUGUUCAAUGUCCGCGGAAAACUCCAAAAGCUGAAGCCUUGCACAUUCUUUCUCUGCGGGUAUGAAAAUUCAAAAUUCAACCUCUUACUUUGUUUGUUUUAAUUUUUAUGAUUUUUUUUUCUAAAUUUUUUCUUUCUGUUUGCUUUGGAUCUCAAUAUCUCAAUGCUUACCCGUUGGUUAGGGAAUUUAACAUGUAAUUCACAAAUACACAGAGGCAGGGGAUUUUAAAAAUAUAUUCCCAGAACCCUAAUUUGGGGUUGUUUUUAUUUUUAUUUUUUACCGUUCGUAUGUUUCAUACUUUAUGGGAUAACAAGAUUUAUUAUUGGGCGUGGACAAUUUAAAUUCAGCCUCAGUAAGAUCGAUCUUUUGUAUUCACUUUGGAUUAUGCAGCUUGUUGUGUCUUAUGCUCGCUUAAAGUUAGCUUUCGUUCAUCGGUUUGGACUCCAUAGUAAUCCAAUUGAGCCGAGGGCUAUGGUUUUGUUGUCAUACACGUUUUGGGAUAUAUCUGGAAUCCUACACCAGUAGUUUGAUGAUCACGCCGAGUACCCCAAAUUGUUUUUAACUAAAAUUGUUAGCAUGCGAUGCGAGUUUGAUAUCUAUUGUAAUUGCCGGUCCUUGCGAUCAGUUUUGAGAUUUAAGGGUUAGCAUCUAAUUAUGUCAUGUCUUUGUCGCGGGAUUGAAUCGUUUGGAACAGUUUUCUGUUUCCAUUUUUAUUCUCGUUUUGUUUCAGUAUGUAAGCCUUUGUCUUAUCUCGCAGGAACUAAACUUUAAUUUGUAAACUUUUAGUUGGGACGGCUUGUCGAAUUCUCGAACCAAAAUUAUGGCUCGUUAUUAUACUUCCCGUUCACGUUGGGGUCCACGUAGGGGUUCAUGUUCGAGUUCCAUUUCCACUGGUGAGUAAUUACGCUGGUAUUUCGAUUGUUUAAAUAAUAUGUCAAUCUGUGAGAUGAUUUGUUUGAUUAGAAUGAAACAGCCUUUCAAUCUUUUUUUUUUAUAGUCAUUUAUGCUUUUUCUUCUUAAUUUGCAGUACCCCAAUCCACUUACUCUGCUUUAUCUGGCAAAAGGAGUAAGUAUAAACGGCGCCCUUGUAAUUUAGUUUUGUACGCUGCUUGUGCUUGUUGGGGCUUCAAUGCCUAGAAUAAUAAUAAUUUUCUCGCUAUCUAACACGUAAUUAUUGUAACUAGCUAAUAACAUGUAAUAUUUCUAUGAGUUAGGUCCUAGUGCCUGUGACGAGGUUGCGGUGAGAUAUCCAAACGGAGGUUCUACGGUCUUUUAUCAUUCAAAUUUUCGUCCAAGUGCAAUUGGUCGUGGCAUUUCUGAUGACCAAUGCCAGUGGUUGCUUCGGGCGGUUGUUGAGGUACUUUCAGUUGCUCGAUUGAAAAAAAAAAAAAAAAGUCUAUGUGCUAUCCUGUUCUGCUUCUUGUGUUGGUCUUGUCAAUCUUUGGAAUGGAAAACAGAUGCUAGAUCAUCUGUUUCUACAUAAAUAUUGACAAGUGUUGCAUCUAUCUCUCUCUUUUAAUGGCAGCUAAGCCUUUUUGGCGGGCCUGAUGACCCGGGGUUUAAGCUUUUCCGAGGUAGCCUAUGGACACAGUGUGGCAUUGAGGUGGAUGUUGAGAAUGGUUCGUCCAAGAAUGAUUCGACUUGCGCUAGUUCGGCUCAGGAUUGAAUAAAGAUGAAGAAUAAAUGUGUGAUUUUGGACCUUGGUGCCGACUAGUGCGUGUAGUUAGCUUUGUUUAUAAAAGUAGUAAAUCCACAUGCAAAAAGGAUUUCCUAUAGGACCAAUUUGCUUUGGAUUAAGGUUAUGUUGGGUGCUAUCUAUGAAUUUUACUCAUAUGAUCUGAUAUCAGCUAUUCCUCAUUUUUAAGUCUCCUAUAAUUUAACUUGAAAAUAUCAUUUAUUCUUCAAGUCUUAUUUCAUUUCUUGAGUAUUAUCAUAUAUAUUUAUGAAACAAUGAGCAUUAGGAGAAGAAUGCAUUACCUGCGCAAAAUCAACUUUGGUAAAAAUCUCAACUUUUUGCUUUAAGGAAAACAGGCAUUUGGCCUUGGUUGUUUAUUUAUGAGCCAUUUUUGGGUGGUCGUACAGACAUUUGGCUCACUAAUGGAUAAUGGCGUUGAGAAGGAAAAGAGGGGUGUAUGAUGAACAAUUGAGCCAACUGAAUUUGCAGCUGGAAUCCACUCCUAUUCAAAGUUUGGAGCCUAACUAGACCUGGCAUUUUGGACCCGAUCCGUUAACCCGACCCGACUCGUUAAUAUUAAUAUUUAGGUGAAUGCUUAACAUGUCAGGUCGUUAACAGGUGAACCCGUUAAAUAACGGGUCACUUUGGGUCAACACGUUAGCAUCCGUUAGUUGAUGAUGUUUUAGUAAUUUUAGUAAAGUCUUAACAACAAAAAAUAAACUCUAUGAAAAAAAAAUAAUAAUAAUAAUUGUUAACGGGUGAAACGGAUGAUCUGUUAACUUAACGGGUCGGGUUCAGGUGACCCGUUAACUUAACGGGUCGGAUUGAACUCAACCCAAACCUAAUAAACCCGACCCAUUUACAGGUCUAAGCCUGACAAAUUGUUGCAAGCUUUUAAGGCAAAGUUUUACCAAGUUCUACAAAGUUCUAACUUCAGGAACUUCCUUUUUCUUUCUUGUUUAACUUUUUGUGAAAUUAUUUCCUUUAAAACAGCUAAGUUACAUGUGCAUCUAUCUCACAACAAUUUGGUUUGGAGCAACAAGCGCCUGUAAAUCAUGUGUCUUUUGGAUUAUCUAAUAAAUCAUUAAAGCUUAAUUACAGAUGCAACAACGGCAAAGUAAACCUUAAUUACAUCCGAGGCAAAGUAAACCGUAAGUCAUCUAAAUGUAUCAAAACAAAUUAACAGUUUAUCAUGAAUAUGAUAUUUGGUACCUACAUCGUUGAUUUAUUCAUAUAUUUGGAUGACUACAUGAUUCCUCAUUCGAAUAAAUUUUUUGCAUGGAUGAUCUUCAAAUAAAUGUUGCGAGAUUAAACAGUUCAAAUUAUGAAAUUUACCGGUUGAAGAUAUUAUUACAUUUGCAAGUUGGGAUUCACUGUAUCCCUGUUCAAAGCAAACAUUCCAUUUUUGAGAUAUAUUUUGAAUUUCUACUACUCUAAUUUAUAUGAUUAUGUUCUUAUAUGAUAAGCAGUGCAGUUAUUUCGGCAUUAGAUCCACUUCUAUACAGUGGCGGAUCCACAGUGGGGUCGUCGGGGUCGCACGACCCCUUGGAAACCAUGGAAACAACCUUGAAGCUCCCAUAUGCGACCUCUUGGAGCUGGGGUCGUCGGGGUCGGAGGCACGCCAACUGUUCGACAAAAGCCCUGAACGAAAACUGGGCAGGAAGAGGAAGAAGAAGCAGCCCACUCAAAUGAGCUUGGUUGUGUGCUUGGUUGCAUGCCUGUUUUUGUCAAGUGAAUGAUAUUUAUACAUGCUACUUUUUAUAACUCUAUCCAGUUUAAUUGGUCUUUCUGAUAAAGAAAUGAUAGGGGUUGGAGGAGUGCUAUAUGAGAACAAGAACAUUAAGAAGAUACGGAAAUUAAUUUGAAACAUCAAGCUGUCAGGGAAAACAAAAAUUUGGAUACACCAGUAACAAGACAAUAAAAGAGCAAGUUUAAGUGAAACUUACUUGCAUGAAUCCACAUAAACGAAUUAUGAUGUGAUUUAUGCCAGAAUCUUGGGUCAGUCCCUAUACUUUAUUAUUGUUCCAUGCACAGAUUAAUUCGACAUUGCAACAAACGCCCGACUAAUGGAGUUAGUACUAUCCGACGACUAUUUAUCUUAUCCGACUGAAAUAGUCAAUACAGUCCGAAGUACCAAACGAGGCUAAAAAAAAAUUUCGCGCUGCGCGCGCUAUGACCCCAUAAACAUUUUUUCCUGGAUCCGCCACUGCUUCUAUAGGUUGGCAUUCUGUCAUUUAUCUGAACAUCGACCACAAGAUGCUUGGCAAAGUUGAGUUGCAAACACUAACCUUCCUAGAAAUCAAAGUUAGUGCAUGUGCAUAGCUCACAUCCAGCUUGCUAGUUGUCUCAGACUCAUCUCGCAGCAUUGAAUAGAUAUCACCGACAGGAUCCCCCCGCCAGAUUCUGGCGAUCAUCUGAGUACAAAGAGAACUUCGACAUAUGCAUCAGCCUUAAUGCCUCAUCCACAUCAGAUUGAGCCACAGUUUCAGAAUGUCGGAGUCUUGCCUGUAAGCAAAAGAAGUUAGAUUCUGUUGAGCAACCCAUCCAACAAACCCAGAAAAUCUCUUUUAUCUAUAAUACCAAAAAUAGUAUAUGGCAUUUGUUAAAACUAGAUUUCCAUGCAAGAUAUUUCUUCCUCUACUUAUGGAUGGCAUUUCUUGAGCACACCAUCAAAUGGGUAAAAUGUGGCACGAACAACAUACUCAUACAUAAUUUACCCCUUUACAAUUCCAACCUAUACUACUACAAAAGGGCCUUAUAGUGUCAGUGGGUGGUGUCGGUUUAAUCUAAUAUAGUUGCGACACUAACUAAACAUGACGUCGGAUUUACUGUCACUUAUAAGCGUCAUAAAAUACUGGUGUCGCUUUAAACCGACGUACACAUACAUUGUAAUAUUUUAAAUACUGGUGUCGCUUUUAAGCGACAUAAAGUAUGAGUGUAGGGGCAAACGACUGGAAGAGCUUUUUUCAGUCAGUGUUGGCGUCGGUUUUAACCGACGCAAAAGUUUUCUUGUUUUGACGCCACAUCCAAGUGCACUGACAUGUCAGGCUCACGUCGGUUUGAACCGACGCAAACUUGUCCUAUUUCGAGGCCACCUGCUACGACUGUCAAGUAUGUCAGGGACACGUCGGUUUUAACCGAUGCAAACUUGUCCUUAUUUCGACGCCACACAAACUUGUCCUUAUUUUUUUUAAAUAUCUUAAAGCGUGCGUCGGUUCUGAGCGACAUAGAUUUUAGUUUUUUUUAAAUAUUCUAAAACCUGGUGUCGGUUGUAAGAAACAUAAUGAUGAUCUUUAUAUACUCUCCCCCGUGUUUUCUUCUUCCUCUCUUGCAUUUUUCUUAUUCGUUCUUCCAAUUUCAAACCCUCCCCGUGUUUUCUCUCUUGCACCUUUCUUAUUUGUUCUUCUUACUUCAUUUGUUCCGUCUUCACAACAGUAAGUGUUUCUUGCUUCUAAUAUUUUUAUUUUCUCCACUUAUGUUUAAUUUUUAUGUACAAUUUAUUUUUGUAGGGAAUUUAUUUGAGCUGGUUGAGUACAUAAAGAUUUGAUCGACGACGGAAUUCUUCCAUAAUUCAGGUUUCUAUCACUAAAUUCUUUAAUUUUUAAAUUGUAUAAUACACAAGUUUAUUUAUUUAAAAGUUCUAAUUUAAGUAGUUAGAUAAAUUUCUACUAUUUUUGUUAAAUUAAUAAAUAUUUAGUCAAAUUAAUUAAUUUUGUCACUUGAAUUGUUAUGAGAAAAUGGAAAUGAAUAAUAGUUAUAAGCAUUUAUGUGAAAUUGACAUAUUAAAUAUAACAUAAACUUAUAAUAUUUAGUAAUAUAAGAAUAUAUUAUGUUAAAUUAAUUUGUUUUGCACUCUAAUUGUUAUUUUAAUUUGUUUUUGUUGUUAUUUUGAUAACUUUUUGUUGUUAUUUUAAUUUUUUUUUACUAUAAUAGGUGUUGAAAAUUAAAAGAUUGCAAUUGUGAUAUAGUUCGAGGGUUGAAAGAUAGAAAUUGAAAAUUCUAAUAGUUAUGCCUACAUGAUAGGGAUUGAAAGAUUGUAGGCAUCUUAGUGUCAACGUAAUAUUUUGUCCUCGUAAAGUGGUAAAACAUGGACAGGAGUUGGUUGACGAUAGCUCGAAAUUUGGAAGCUUAUACAGCUGGAAUUAAUUUGUUUUUGGACCAAGCAGUUGCAAAUGGUGUUGGCCCUGAUAAGUUUAGAUGUCAUUGCCAAAGAUGUUGUAAUCGAUAUACUUUUGUUAAGAACACUGUUGUUGAACAUCUCAUAUUGUAUGAUAUGGAUAAAGAUUAUAAAAACGCUUGGUGGCGACAUCAUGGUGAGAAAAACAUUGGAAAGCAAAAUAUUGGUGGCGACAUCAUGGUGAGAAAAACAUUGGAAAGCAAAAUAUGGCAAUCAGAGAAGAAGAAACAGGAGAUGAGGUGGCUAGUAUGCAUGAUUUUCUUAAUGAUGUAUUUGUCCAACCAUUAACAGAAGAAGUGUUGGGCUGUCUACUGAACCCCCUAUUGGGGAUGGGCAUUCAGAAGAGGUGAAGACUUUUUUUAGGUUGCUUGAAAAGGCAGAUCAAGAUUUGUGGCCAGGAUGUAAAAAGUUUAAGGAAUUAGAAGCAGUUGUAAGACUGUAUUAGAUCAAAUGUUUAGCGGGAAUGCCAGACGAGAUCUUCACCACUUUACUGGAGUUAAUUAAAAGAAUGUCGCCUAAAGGGGAUUGUUUUCCUGAAUCCUGUUAUAAGGCAAAAAAACUUAUAAAUGACUUGGGUCUGACGUAUGUGAAAAUUGAUGCAUGUCCCAAUGAUUGCAUGAUCUAUUGGAAAGAUACUUCGAAGUUGACUGUGUGCUCGGUUUGUGGUGAAUCAAGAUAUAAAAUUACCAAAGCAGAGGAUAGCUUGAGAAAAAAGAUCGUAGCUAAGGUUAUGUGGUAUUUUCCUUUAAAACCACAAUUGCAACGAUUUUUUAUGUCGAAGCAUACGGCUGAACAUAUGAGGUGGCACGCAAUUGAAAUGUCCUAAGGAUGAGUUUAUGAGGCAUUCUUCAUAUUCUCCAGCAUUGAAGCAUUUGGAUAAUUUAUAUCCGGAUUUUGCGUCAGAAAUUCGAAAUGUUAUAUUAGGGUUGGCCAAUGAUGGAUUUAAUCAUUUUGCGAAAAUGAGGCAUGACCAUAGCACAUGGCCUGUGGUGCUUUCUGUUUACAAUUUACCGCCCUUGAUGUGCAUGAAGAAAUCAAAUUUGUUGUUGUCUCUAUUAAUACCAGGACCGCGCAGUCCUGGUAAAGAUAUUGAUGUAUACAUACGUCUACUGAUUGACGAGUUAAAUGAGUUAUGGGAGGUGGGCACUCCCACUUAUGAUGCAUAUUCCAAUCAAAGUUUUACAAUGAAGGCUGCCGUCUUAUGGACUAUAAGUGAUUUUUCGGCUUAUGGAAUGUUGUUAGAAUGGAGUACACACUAUGUGGCCAGCCCUAUCGCUGGGUUCCAGGACACUUUACUGCUUUGGCAUGAUCGAAUAAGACACCCUGGACGAGAUAUUAUGCGCCAUAUCCUCAAAGCAUCUCAUGGACAUCACUUGAAAUCUUAUACUAGCCAUCCGCUUUGCAAAGCAUGUUCCCUGGGGAAGUUGAACACUCAACCUUCAAUUACCAAGAUUAUUCACGACCCCCCUAAAUUUCUUCAGAGGAUUCAAGAGGAUAUUUGUGGACAUAUACAACCAAUGUGCGGACCAUUUAGAUAUUUUAUGGUGUUGGUUAAUGUUCGUGAAUCUUUCAAGAUGAUUGUAUCAAAAUUCCAAAUUUUUCUACCAAGCCAUUUGACCGUGGCGAUGAAAAGAAGACCCAGCGCGCAGCUUUUCUAGAUUGACGUUUCUGGACGUUUUGGGUAUUUUAGAGGUCAAGAUAGUAUAUUUGAGGAAUAUUCCUUCUGAGGAUUUGUAGAGGACGUUUCAAGCUUUCAAAAGAGACCUUUUGGGACCAAAUCAAAGUUGAUUUGGUCAGUCAAAAGACUAAUUUUCUGAGAACUCCGAAUUUCAGUUUAAAUAGGAAACCUUUUAUUUUCUGUUUUAUUAUUUUAUUAUGUUUCCUAGUUUUAUUCUAAGACCUUUUCUAGGUAGGAUUUUAUUUGAUAGUAGUAUAAAUAAGACUUUUUAGCCAUUAGAUCAGGGGGAGACGCAUUAUUUUGGAGACCUACUUUUUACCUAUAAGGUGUUUUCAUUCUUUUUUCUAUUUAAUAUAUUUUCUUUAGUUUUUAUUAUGAUUGUUCAUAACUAAUUUCUUUUGCUAGGACGAAGCCAUGAGCUUUAGCAUGAAUAUGUGAUUUUAUUAAUAUGCUUAUGAAUGGAUGCAUGCUUGCUUUGAAUUAUUAAUUACCGCGAUUAAACUAUUUAAUUGUCUAAGUGAUUCGCGACCAUUAGGAUUUUUAGACAAGUAAUUUGAUGUAAUUUAUGUUGGAACAUCACCCUAAAAUUGAGGAGGGCUUCUUGUGAUUAGUAAUUGUAAGUUCACUUAAGGCAAACAUCACGCUUUUAAGGGUUGCAUGGUUUUUCAAAUGAUUUUCACAAAACUUAAUGAGUCUUGCAUGUUUAUAUUUGAUCUGAACAUCACAGAUGGGUUGCAUGUUAGAUAUACGUUUUCGCUUGAACAUCACAAGGAAAAUAUGCAUUAGGGAAACCUAACCUUAAAAGCAUGUAUGUGGAAAUUCAUAAGUAAUUGGUAAAUUUGCAUAGGAUUGUUAAUGGUGACGGCAGAACGCUAGUGUUUAAAUUGUUUUCCAAAACCGUUUUCUUUUGCUUUCUUUACUUUGUUGAUCUAUUUAAUUGUUUUUAUAUUAAAUUCGUUUUUAUUAUUUUUAAAUUCAAAAUCAUCUUUUUCAAUCUUUGUUUUCAAAUAUUUAGCUAAGAAUUAGUUUAAAUACAUAUUAUUCAUUCAAUCCCUGCGGAAAACGACCUUACUUGAGCCGUUUAUACUACAACUACCUUGUUAUCUUGCAAGUAUUUUUAAGUGUUUUUAUUCAUACUUUUGCAGGUGGUAAAAAUCCUAUCAGACAUAGUCCCACUUAAUGGACAUCAUAACGUUCUGCUACCUUAUCAGUUUGGUAGUUUCCAAAAAUCUGAAUAUGCAACUUAUGAACGUGGUAACCGCGUAUCUUUAUGGGGAUCUAGAUACGGAAAUGUACAUAAAAGUUCCAGAAGGACUUCCAUUGGCUGGUUCAAAUAAUUCUAGACCACGCAACACUCUCUCGAUUAGAUUGAGGAGGUCACUUUGCGGAUUGACAAUCCGGGGGAUGUGGUAUAACCGUCUAAGUGAGUAUUUGACAAGUCAGGGUUAUGUGAACAACGAACUAUGCCCGUGCGUGUUCAUUAAGAAGUUAUAUUCUGGAUUUGUAAUCGUUGUAGUUUAUGUCGACGACAUGAACCUUGUUGGAACUUUUGCAUAGCUUAAGGAAAUUGCAGUGCACUUGAAAUCGGAAUUUGAGAAGAAAGAUCUUAAGGAAAACUCGAUAUUGUCUCGGCCUGGAGAUCGAGCAUUGUUCGGAUGAAAUCCUAGUACAUCAAUCGAACUACACCUAGAAGUUAUUGCGUCGUUUUAAUAAGGAUAAAGCAAAGCCCUCAAGUACUUCUAUGGUCGUUUGAACUCUAAAUGCUAAACGAUAUCCCUUCCGUCCGAAUGAGGGUGAGGAAGAGAUUUUGGAGCCUGAAGUUCCAUGCCUAAGUGCAAUUGAUGCUUUAUUGUACUUGGCUCAAUGCACUAGACUCGACAUCUCCUUCACUGUUAAUCUUUUGGCUAGAUAUAACAAUGCGCCUACAAGCAGAUACUGGAAUGGUGUUAAAGGCGUUUUCCGCUACCUUAAGGGUACAACAUAUUUGGGCUUGUUCUACAAACACAAAUCCAUGAGAGAAGACGAUGCCCCCCUUGAUCCUCGGGUUGAUUCAUGCCUCGUUGGUUACGCAAAUGUUGGUUAUCUGUCUGACCCUCAUAGGGCACAUUCUCAAACGAUUUUUGUCUUUACCAUUGGAGAUACCGCUAUAUCUUGGAGUUCUACCAAGCAAACGCUAGUUGCAACUUCUUCGAACCAUGCUGAGAUUCUCGUCCUGAAUGAAGCCUCGCGAGAGUGUUUUUAGCUGAGAGCAGUUAUGGAACAUAUUCGAAACACUAGUGGUCUUUCUUCAGUCGUUGACCUUUCUACAACGAUCUUUGAAGACAAUGCAGCAUGUAUCGAGCAGUUAAAGAAAUGAUACAUCAAGGGAGACAAGACCAAGCACAUAGCGUCGAAGUUCUUUUAUUCUCACCAGCAACAACAACAUCAGAACAUUGAAGUCAAGCAAAUCCGUUCCCAAGAUGAUCUCUUCACAAAGUCACUGCCCAAGUCUACUUUUCAGAAGCUCGUCCAAGGAAUCGGUAUGCGUAAAUUAUCUGAAUUAAAUCGCUUGUAGUCUCAUUUGUAAGUUAUGUCUAACUUAGGGGAGUAUCUUGAAGCAUACUCACUUGAUCUUAAUGUACUAUUUUUCCUACGAUUAGGAGCAUUUUUUCCACUAGAUUUUUGCUGCCUAACGAGGUUUUAACAAGGCACCCAUCCUAGGAUGAUCAUACUCCGUUGAGUUCACUACUUUCAUCCCGUUUGACGUUUGUUUUAGACAUUAUGCGUACUUCUCACUUUUCUCCUUAGUCUAUGGAUUUUCCUCAUACCUUGGGUUUUACCAUAGCAAUGUUUUGUGAGUUUUACUACCAAUGCAUACUUACGUUUAUUGUAUCUGAGACUCACGUUCACUCUUUAUGCCAACGACUUCAUCAAUUGUUCUACCCCAUUUGCUGAAGACCUGAUGCGACGUUUUGUUUCAGUAUUUACAUAGGGUUGCAGUCCUAUCGGAUUAGGAAUGUGAUUGUGUAAAUCCUAGUAUAUCUAGGAGUAUCUUGUAGUUACCUAUUAGGAGUUGAUUACCUAUUAAUCAUAAAGGGUAUGAAUUCUACCCAUCAUACUACUAUAAAUAAAGGCAUAAGGCGAUGAUAUAAUACACACUUCAAAAUUAAAUCUCUCAUUUUCUCUCUUGUUGCCGUUGGCCCCCUCUCCCUCUUUGUCCUUAUACAGUUCAGUCAAAUAGGUCUACAACACACUUAUUAUUUUUCUAUUUUUAGUUUUUCAGAUAACCUUACACGCACAUAUUACCUAAAUAAUUUAUUUCUUCAAGGUAAAAGGAGGAUGUGGAUGGUUUCUUUUGGACAUCUCGCCUAAUAUUAGAGUCAGUUUCUCGGCCACCAAUGAACCAAGAAAAACGAAAAAAAAUGGGAAGUCUCACAUCAGUGACAACUGGAACAUAAACAAUUUUUCUAUCUAGUAUUACUCUCGAUUUGGAAAUGUCUUCCAAUCUGGAUUUACCCCAAAAGAAAACGUUUUCAAAUCCGCUUUUAAAGUUAACCACAACUUAGCGCAAACAAAAUCUAAAUAACCGGUUGUAAAACUAAUUUAAGAUUUUGACCGGAAAAUAUUGCUAUCCAACUCUGUCUUUACAGCUAGGGAAGGCAAUACGUGCAAUUUAUCUACCUGCAUAGCAUGUCUAUGAAGCUGAAUGCUGUGCAGCAGAACCAGGCCCUGCUUACCUUGAAAAAAGACUGUCAAAGAGCCAUCUGCAACCAUCUGAAAGAGCGACUGAAGAGAAUCAUCCUCAAACAAACUUUGUGCUGCCAAAGGAUGGUUUGCCAGUGCCUUCAUAACAUGCUCAUCAUUCCCUUAUACCCGCAUAAUUAUAGGUUAGAAACAAAAAGAAAGUUAAAAACAUACCAUGAACCGAUAACAUAACAAACACAAGAGCACAAUAACGUACAAGCAAAGACUAAGUUUAGUAUGAAAAAAAAUGUCACGCACUACUACCGGCUGUUGUUCAAAUAUGUGAAAUAUACACCUCAAACAGGGGAAAAAAUACAGAUGUUAGAAUAACAGCAAAUCCUGGCAUGUUCAAAUAAUGUCACGAUUCAAAAUGCUACAAGGUUAUACUUGUACCAAACACUACAUAACAGCAAUUAAGCCUAUUGUGUUUUCAAAAUCAAACUUUGCAUACAUUGAUGAUCCAUGUGUAACAAACAUGUAUGGUUUUGUAUACCAUUAAUUAAAAGCUACCUCAAGCCGACGGACUUGACCAGCAUCACCGUCAUAACCUUUAUCAGCUGUAAAUAGUUCAUCACGAUCAGUAGCCUUUUGGGCUGUUUGAGACAUGUAGGCCAAUAUUGCAGACCAGGCAGCAAUAGGGGGAAACUGUUCCAUUUUCUACCAUUUUUCUCAAAACAGUGGCAUGCAAGAAUAUGUAAUCCGGCUUUGGCAACACGAAAAUACAGAUCAAUCAGUGUCUCCUUCUCUAACAAGUUUUGUUUUGUUUUUGCAAUAGCAUGCUCUACCAGCCCAUAAGCCUUCUCAAGCUAGACAUUGAACACGAAACCUUUCGACAAGACUCGUUAGGAGCUCAUUCAUAACAUAUUUCAUAGGAAAAUUUUCCGUCUGCACAUGCUGCUCAUGCAACUUCCAUGCAUCAUUUAGUCUAUGCUCAUCAAUUGCAUUCUGUAUGUCCCCGGUUAAUUUAGCCGGAUCUCAAGCCCGGCCUGGACCAAGAUCGUUCCCACCACAGUCGAAAAGCAGGUUCCUUUAACUGCAAGUCUCCCUGGUAAUCCCAAAACAUCUUGUAAACUCUACUUGGCCAACGAAGAAAACCCAAAAGAACACAGAAACCGGCCCCGCAUUUGAACAAGCUCGAAGCUGAGGAUUCCGAGAACAUAUAGAGCAGAAAGGGAAACCGAAGUUAUCCAACGAUGGAUGAAUUUUUUCACAGAAAAGAAUCUUAACCACAAAAACAAUUACCACUCAACUCCUAACCUGCCUAUUUCUAACUUGAGGAGCAAGUAACCAAGGACAUUGAAGUGGCCAGCUUCGUUGAGGCAUUUAAUCAAGCAGCUAGUGGUUGAACUGAGGUUGAAAGGAGAAAAGCGUUUUACUGGACGUCCAGGUAUAAGUUCAAGUUAAUUUGGCGUCGGUAUGUGCGGAUAAAAAAAAGGAGGAAAGUUCGAAUAUCUAACGUUACAGAGAGGGAGAGAAGGAGCUGUGGAAGUGAGGGGGCGAGGGAAAGAAGCCGGGUCGGUUUUGCGAACAAAUAAAAACGGGUUCUCUAUUGGGCCUUUUCAUGGAAUUUGGACCGGUGGGCUGCUUUAUUCUUUGGUGUAGUUGGUUUGGUUUGGUUUAAUAAAAGAGAAUGGGAAUUGACUUCCGCUUGCACCAAUUUUUCCAUGUAUUUAUCAAUAAUAACCAAAAUGAAACACACAAUUUCAUAAAUGUCAUUUUUUUAUAAAAUAUUUCAAAUAUAGCGGAAAAACCACUUAAAAGACCAAAAUACCCUCAAAAUUAAAACCGAAUAAACAUAAGAAGCAAAACCCUAUUAGAAGCUCAAUCGUUCCAAAGAAAUCCAAAACUAAAAUUGAAUUUCCAACAUGAUCAGAAUAACAAACUUGUAUAAUGAAAAGUGUGAUCGAUUCAUGGCAUCCAUACGCUUUGGGUAUAAGAAUUGGGACUAGUUGAGAUCAACAAUUUAGAACUUACAAAUAGGUGUUGUAGAUUAAUUAGAUUGACGGGGAGGAGAAGAAAGAAUAAAGUUGGAAUUAUCCUCUUGUGAAUUAGAUUGGAAUUUGAUUCUAAUGAGUUAGAAGCCUCAACCAGUAUCAUGUCUGCUAAAUUGAUUGAACAAAACAUACUCUUUUAGAACGAUCUUGUAUCACUUUUAGGACGAUCUUGUAUCAAUUAUUGAGGCCAAGUCCUGCUUGGCAUAUCGGCAGUCCUGUGUCACGAGAGUUUCACACGCAGAAAGUAGCUUUUCUGCAAUAGCUAUCGGUGUUUCCAGUUUGAUUUUCUUUCUUUCCAUUCCUGUGCUUGUUGACCCGUCUAAAAAACUAUACUAGAAAUUCUCAAGUUCAGAGAAAUUACUACUUUUCCACUGAGCAUCAGAUACUGAUAGUUCUGCGUAAUCUUUCCCAAACAUAGAAGCUGAAAGUUUCGCUUCAAGAGCAGAUCGCGCAGACACAGGAAAUAAAGUCACAUGUUCAGUAUUCAAUAGUUUCUGUGUGUUCUCCUUUAUGAAUGACGUAGCUUCCUCAAGCUGCAGAAAUAAUGCAUUUAGAUAAAGGCAACAUGAGGAGAAUUGAGAAGCUGAAACAGAUAGAACCAUCAUAUUAACUGGUCUUUUCUGCAAUACGAUUGCUAAAGGUAAUAUCAACAUUCAAUAUGAAUGAAAUGCUGGAACCUCAUGGGCACUGCGCGGUAGUAUCAGAUUUAUUCAAGACAAACACAACUUUCUACUUCCGUUGCUGAGUAUAACGAAGAAACGCAACCUGGAGAAAACACCAGUGACGAAACUGAAAUCAGCGUUGGUGAAAAUAACGAACAGGUAAAACUAUUCCACUAGUCUAACAUAUAUAAUUAACCAAAGUCAAAAUCAGUUAAAAGACUUUAAGGCCCGCAUCAAUGUCUUUUUAGCCAUAUAGCUCAGCUAUUUGCAGCUUUGGACUAUAAUCCACUAAAGGACAAUCCUUCCGUAAACCUUGUUAUGAAUCAUAUUGGAAAAGAGGGCAGUGAUAUUUCCUAGAUGUGUAAUUUAACUAGCAUCUUGUUAUUCCGGAUAAAUUAAUCUUUUUAUAAGAAAGAAGCCUGGACAAAAGAAUGAGAUGCAACCAUAUAAGCCCGUGAAAUCUUAAUUUGUCAAUUUGUAGUCUAUAGAUGCAUUGAGCAGCACGUCAUGCAAUUUGACGAACAAACAAAUCAUACCUCACCUUCAGUUAACGGGCGAUCAGCAGAGAACAAAAAGAAGCAAAUCAGCACGGGGCACAAAUUCCUCAGUAAGGCGUUGUUGCCUUUGGAGAAUCACAUUAGUUCCAGGUGUAUCAACAACGUUCAUCUGCGUCCAAUUUAAAAUAAAAUAAGUACAUACUACAAAAUGUAUUUUUAAUCAUAAAGUAGCAUUAAUCUAAUCCUGGGAAGAUGAUAGACUAGAUGUGCAGUAGAUUUUGUUCUGCCUACAACACACAACUUUUUAUCUUGUGCAUCCAACCAUCAUGACUCUCUGUGGCUACUUACGUAUGAUAUGUAGGAUAUUCAAUUAAACAAAGGCAGACUAACCAUAUAAAAAACCUAUUAAUAAGGGAUUGUACUAUUUGAACUGAAUAUAAGAGUUUGAAAUCUACUCACUUCUUUAAGAAUCGGAGCAGGAAUGUAGCAUAUAUAUUGACCAUCUGGAGGCCUUUCACAACGCUGUUCCUCACCAGCAUCCAUCUCAGUAUACCGUGAGAUGUUUAUUCCCGAGAAGGGCAUUAAUAACAGUUGACUUGCCAGAGUUAACUUCACCCUGUUGACAAAAAGAGAGAAAGUGUCAUAGGAGAACCACCAUAAACAUUCUGACAGAGUUCAUGAAUAAAGCCAACUGUAGAAAAUGACACGAUACUCCCCUCAUGAUUCUUCUAGCUCAAACAUGACAAAUAACUAAAUUAAGGUGAUGAUUAUUUUCAAUGAGUAGUACAGUCAUGCACCUUCUAAAACAGUCAGUUUGGAAGCAUUAAUCCAAACAAAGACCAAACAAGAACUAGUGCCUUUUGGCAAACUGAAGGCAAGACGACCACUCAUGUGACCAAACGUAUUGUCCUAGGCGUAUACAAUAGCAGAAGAGACGUAGUGUAGUUAAUUCCUAAAGGUUAGCUAAGGGUAUAUAGAUGAUAGAACCAAACUAUUUGUCGGAUCUAUAUUUGAAACCAAUAAUGGCUUACAAAUUUACAUAUCUCUGAACUUUUUUAUUAGCAAUUCUCACGAACUACUGCAUAACUGUUAUCAAAGGCCACCUAAAUUCUAAAUUCUAUAUUCUAUAAAGAAAAGAAGGAUUCACAUGAAAUAUAGAGCUAAUACCAAUGUAUAUUCCUGGAACCACAAUUUGUUGAAGUUCAGCACACAAUUACCACUAUAACCAGCAAAAAUGGCUCAUCAAUUUGAGAAACCGCAUCAACGAGAAGUGAAACCUCCUCCAUCUGUCAUUCAAAAUCAAUAUUCCACUUUUAAUCAUAAAGUAUACGAAUAAAAAUGAAUGAAAUUAUGAUUAUCUCAAUAUUAACCUUAACUACCAAAUUCUUUAAUUAAAUGAUCACCAGUGGAGCAGCUUUCUGGAUGACAUUUAUUGCUUUAAGCAACACUGAUCUUUCUGCUUCUACCAACUUUUUUUUCUCUAUCCUCCAAUUUAAGAAAACCAGCAACACUUGUACUGUUGAUGGGACCACCAUGGGCAUCCAAAUAUGUGAGCUUACUUAAGCCUUCAACUUCAUCUUGUGUUUCACUAUUCAGCAUGUACACAAUGUCAAACAAUUUGCUCAAAGCCUCAUCAUCAAGCAGCCGGAAAUAUUUCAAAGACGUAACUAAUCCACUAGCGCCAGAUGUCAAUAAUGCUGGCCCCUCCUUAUAUAAGGCGUUAUAAGAAGUGAACAUGACAAAUAUUGGUAUCUUUAAAGUUUUAAACAGACUGUUGAGUGCCAGAAGUGAUAGUGUUUGGUUUCUGGGUUAGUUUCAAUGGAAGUUCAAAGAUCAGUGAAAUACACCGAAGAAGAAGGAGAGAAAAUGUAUCCAAAGGAUUGUGUCGAUUCUAUUCACUCUGCAUACUUCAUGAAAACCUUUUCACAGCCUAUAUGACAGUUAGAGGAGUGAAAACAAUUUCACUCACUCUAUUACAAAGCAAUCACAACCAUUCAUUCUUAAGUCAUCGUGUAAGAUGCUUACACUUGUCAUGAGAUAUGACUUAUUACAAACUAAUCUAAAUGCCAUAUGGAAUAUGAUCCAAAGGCUCACAUUUGAACACAACUUGCUUAAAACAAAACUAUCACAGCAAAUACAUUUACACAUCAAUAAGAAGAACAUUUUCCUGUCCGGCAAUAUCGUAUAUAAGAAAGUCAGCUCCUUCAGAGUUGGAUGCAUUUAUGGCACCAUCUAUAUCUUGCACAUAUCUUGCUACCAAAGGAAGGACAACCGAAUCGGAUUUAGAAGCCAUCAUUGUGCUUCUUGCUACAAUGGUAGGAAGACCCAUGUGAGAAGAAACAAACCCAUCAUUCACCUCCGUUACCAAAAAACACAUCACUGACCAAGUCCACGGAUUUUCGAUACCAAAUGUACCGAAAUUCAGUAAAGAAAUGAGAUUUAAACAGAUUAUUCUUGUUUUGAUAUCAAUCCACUUAGGUUGUAUAAUUCAUUAAGAUUAAAACUUGCUGAACUUCAAUAAAAUACAAUGAGUCAACAUCAAUCAUCUUCUAAUAUCAGAGACGACACAAGCAAAGAAGUUUUAUAUACUAUCAUGUGUCUGUGUCUAUAUACACACACACAUGUAUCAGAAUACUGAUUACCCAAGUAGUAAAAUGACCUGAAAAUGAAGACUGACCUUGAUCGGAGAGCAAAACUCCACUGGCAUUAGCUGCGGCGGCGAUAUCGACCCUCUCGGAGAUCAACAAGUAGGCGCGGUCUCUAAUCACCGACUUCAGCUUACAGGCGGCUUCAUAGAGCCUGCCGCCGCUUGAAUCACGACCAUUAAGCAUCAGAACCCCGACACCGCCUUGUCUACCAAAUCCAAAGCAUCCUCGCCGGCAAGGACUUCAUCGGGGUCCAAUUGGAGCACGACAUUGGGGACCCUGACCUCCGGGCGCUUGAACCCACCUGGGAACUGGGUUCUCGGCGGGUGAGCUUGCGGGGGUUGGGGGUUUUGGCUGGUGAAUCGAUGAGAGUUCUGGGAGAUAGAUGAAAUGAUAAAUUGGGUUCGUCGGGGAGGAUGGGCCUUGGUGCGGGAGAGGUGGGGUUGGAGAGAUGGGGAGGCGGUUGGGGUAUAUAGGAGGGGUUGGGUUGUGGAUGUGUGGAGGGAAACGAGGGGUACCAUGGGAAGAACUUGGAGUUAACUUCAGACACAGAGAAACAGAGAGUAAAGGAAGAAGGAAGAAGACGAUGGGCUUAUCUUCUUAUCGUUUGAAGUGGUUCGUAAUUGCAGCUAAAAUAAAAAACAAUGUGAUUCUUAUGGUGGACAUUGUCGGUGAUGGGCCACUUGUGGAGAAAGUUGGUUUGAAUUUUUGCCAAAAAAAAAAAAGUUGGUUUGAACUUUGAAUACUAGUUACACUUAUAUUCCCUCAUAAGUAACACCAUGCGUGGAUGUAUAUUUAUAUAUCUCUCUCGUAAUGUCUCAAUGUAAUUAAAUGUAUUAACAAUGUGUACGUUCUUUCCUGUCCUCUCGUACUAAGAAAUGAUCUUUGCAAUGCUCUAACAUUCAUGUUGACAAUGGAUCGAACUCUAUCAUGAUAUUUUGAACUCAACUCACCUACCGUUUUAAUUGAUGAGCAAUCCAACCCUUGAAACGUGCAACUCCAGAUGGUGAAUAGCUAACAUUGACGUGCCAAAAAGAAUGUAAGCAAGCGCACUCUUAGUGCAUAAUAAAAUAGUUGGAGUCCUAAUAAUAGCACCCUAUAGAUAUAUAAUAUAUAUAUAUAUAUAUAUAUAUAUAUAUAUAUAUAUAUAUAUAUGUGUGUGUGUGGGUAUCAUAUGGUGAUGUACAUGUAAGAAUGUAAAUAGUAUAACCUUUGUGACAAUGAGUGGGAGGGGGGGUAACUGCUAUGGCUGGUAAUAGGAAAUGGUUUUUGCGGAGUACAUUGGAGUUUCGAACAAUAACCUCUAUAUUGAUUCUUGAUGCUGAUGAAUCAUAUGAUGGUAGUCAGAGGGUAGCUGAAAUUAGGGGUGGGUUCGGUACGGUUACCGUACCAAACCCCUUGUACCAAUUACCAUACCAAACUUUCGGUUUGGUAAAAUCUAUUGCCGUUACCGUACCAAACUUUCAGUAUACCGAAAUUCGGUAUUGCCAAAAGUUCGGUUGGUAUGGUAUGGCAAUGGUAAUUGCCAUUUUGUUUUGGGACAAAAUCUGUUUUUGUUUUUUAACCCAAUUCAAGGGAAAAACUCUUUUUUGUACCUUUAUCUUAUACAUUAUAGAUUAAAUUAAUCUAUUAUUCAUCAUUCACAAUUCACACACAUAAUAAUUCAAAAGAUGCAUCAAGAUUCAUCAUGAAAAUUAAGCUUACAAUCCAAAUAGAAGUUACGAAUCAAAACAAAUAGAAGUUAACAAUCCAAAUAGAAAUUAAAGUUUCAAACCAAAUGAAAGUUGGAAGUAAACUUCAAAAAGGAGAAUUCAUUGAUCAGUUAUUCAAACUUAAGAUGUCGAAGUUUUUGGAGGAGACAUUGAACUUGUAGAAGAUUGAGUUUGUGUCAACCCUACAUUACAAACAAAGAAAACAUAUUAAUUAGUAGUAAGAAGAAUUAAAGUUGAAAACCAUUUAAUAACAAAUUUACUAGAAAAAUUAAAGCAUAUCUUUCUUGUUUUCUCUUCUUCCAUUUCCUUGUAAAAUUGAAGCAUAUCUUCCGUUGGUUCCUUGUAGAAGUUUACUUCAUCUGCCCUAAGCCAACCACUAGUACGCACUAAUGCCUCCAUUAUUUUAGGAUAAAAUGAUACCCUAAAGGGUCCACAACCCUCCUCCCUAGGCUAAAUGCAUUUUCACUAGCAAAAGUAGAAGUGGCGGUUACAAAGAUAUUUUAGCUAUUUGUGAAAGAAUUAGGAACUCUUUUGUGUUUGAUUUCCACAAUUUCAAGAGAUCAAAGUCACCAACAACAAUGCUAAUAUAAGUAGGGUUUUAUUUUCAAAUUAUUGGAAUAUUAUAAAUAUGUGUUAUAUAAGUAUCUAUUAUAUAAUUUAUAAAUUAUAUAUUAUAUUGUAUUUUCGGUAUGGUAUGGUAAUACCGUGGUAAUGGUAUCCAUUACCAAUACCGUACCAUGAAAUUUCGGUACGGUACAAUACCAUACCAUUACCGAUUGGUACGAAAAAUUUGGCACAAAAUCGGUAUGGCACGGUUGGCAAUUUGGUUGGCACGGCAAUUUGGCAAAAAAUCCACCCCUAGCUGAAAUGUCUUUGUGAGUCUUUUCGGCCCCUAGAAGGGUGGACUGUCGUGACGAAGCCAUCAAUUUGUCCCUACUAUAAUCUCUCUCUCUCUCUCUCUCUCUCUCUCUCUCUCUCUCUCUCUCUCUCUCUCUCUCUCUCUCUCUCUCUCUCUCUCUCUCUCUCUCUCUCUCUCUCUCUCUCUCUCUCUCUCUCUAUAUAUAUAUAUAUAUAUAUGGUUGGCAUGAACGUCGAUUGUAUGAUGUAUGUUGUCGCUCUUCUUCAAAUUAGGUUUUAAAAGAGAAUUACGCUAAUUUGUAGUCGAGAAAUCUCCAAAUUAUAAUCUUGAAACUAUAAUUUUGGCUUGACUAUAUUUAUACUCUUUGGAUUUGGGGUGAUUUUAAAAAUUGGCUAUGAAUUUUUAAUUUUUUUAUAUUGCACUCUAAGGUUGAAGUUGUAUAAGUUUGUGCGUUUGGUCGGAUUAAUUGUUUGAUUAUUUAUUAAAUUGAGGACGUGGUGAGCUUGAGACUCUUAUAUGACUAACGUGUAAGUCAUAUUUAGACCACAUUAGAAAAGAACCCGUGAGUUUAAUGGAUGAUUAGACGUUCAAAUAGACAAAAGAUAUUAAAUGAUACGGUUUUUAAAACCUCAUGGUUCAAAUAGACCAAAGGGAAGUGAUUUCCGCAAACACCAUUUGUUCCGUCUACGUUUUUGUUUAUUUAUAUCUUUUAAACUAAUUUUUUUAUCUAAACUAAAAAAAAAAAACAAGAAGAAGAAGAAUGCUUGCAAAAGGAGUAAACGAGUGUGCAAAACUUAUUUAUGAAGAAAAAUAUACUCCCGAAAAUACUAUUAAACUAACUAGCACUAUAUUUGUAACUAAUAGUCUCAUUAUAUAUCGUCUCAGUAUGACAAACGUUAUGGCCUUUGUUCUGUCAUUAUACCGAUAAAAAAUAAUUUCAUAUACUUUUACUAGGGAUAUGCUAUUUGUACCAAAUAUCAUCCUUUGAACUUGAUCUUUAUUGUCCAAGUUCCCUACGGGGCAUAACUCAAAUUAAUACCACUAUUAUCUAAAUAAUCAUAUAUCAAAUCAUGACGGUAGAUUAUUUCGUACACGAAUAACAAAAAAACAUACUCAUUUCAAAUAAAUAAACAUGCUCCUAAAUUAGUUAUCGAUUCCUCAUUUAUUUCUUCCUAUUUUCCUUGAAAUUUCAAUAUUUCAGAUUGGAUUUUCCAAGAAAUUGACUCUUGUUUUCUCCUUGACAAAACUCUAAAUUAUAUAAAACUCUAGUAAACAAGAGAUUAAAAAAAAAUACGAGAGGAAUUGACUCUACUAACCAUUCUGAGAGAAUUAAAAAAAACAAAAAAAAAAGCCCAACCCGAACUGGACGGUGAAACCCAACUCAAACUGAACGGUGAAGCCAAAACCUAUAAAUAUAAGGGAACCCAGAACCUCCGCCUCCAAGUCAAACAAUCAAUUUGAUAACAAAGAGCGCGAUCGAUCUGCAAUCUCAGAGAGAGAGAGAGAGAGAGAGAGAGAGAGAGUAUGGCGUCGGUGACACGUCCCGAUCCCAAUAUUUCCUGAAUACCAGGAUAGGCAUGUGCUGGCUGACACCCUAAGGUGACGAAAGCCAUUUCUUGAGUGCAAAUGCUGAAAAUUAAGGGAUAUAUAAGACUUAAAAAUAUAAAAGAAUAAUGAAUAUGCAUUUAAGGAACAUGUUCAGAGCAUAUAACUAACUAGAACACUAAAAGAAAUAGUAUAAAGUUGAAUGAAACAAAGGAUGGAUCCUACACCGAGAGGACUCGAAGAUACCGAUGCGGAAGUGCCUGGAUGCCAGGAUUGUAUGCCUUGAUUCUAUGUCCUGAAGAGGGCGCAAAACAAACAUGAGUGGACCAAGUUGAUAUAUAUAUAUAUAUAUAUAUAUAUAUAAUAAAACAGUUAUCAACGUAUUAACCCCCAAAUUUUAUGAAAGCACAUAUAUAAGGAUAAACAUAGGUUUUCCGAAACCUAGCAUGUCGUGCAAUGUCUCAAAUCAUAACUUGUAUAUAUAAUAAUCACUAGUGAGUUGUCUGAUAACCCCCAGGCCCCAUGCCGGCUCCCCGUCUCUGAGCAGACAAUCAGAGGAAAAUACAAUUCAGGCCCCAUGCCGGCUCCCCGUCCUUGUGCUAAAUGGCCCGAGGAAACACAUUCCAAGCCCUAUGCCAACACCAAACCGUCGCCCGGAACGAACCGGAAUCUAUCCCUAUGUCCCGUAGUGGAAAUGACCACUAGGUAAGUACAAAACCAUUGAACAUAUAUAUAUAUUGAAAAACAACUUCAUAGUAUAAAGUCAUCCAUCAUCUAUACUAUAAAGAAGUGUUCUAAACAUGUUCUAAAUAUCAUAUCGUCAUCCAUCGGAUAUUCUAUAAGAACACGGUUUAUAGGAAAAAUAGUAAUAAUUCAAACUAGCCUCAGUAAGCAUGUUAUCUCAAAGCGUUUCAUAGAACAUAAUCAUCAAAUCAUGCUUUUCAUGUAUGCAUUUCUACUAUCAAAACAUGUAUUUUUAGAAGGGGUCCACUCACAGUACUUCGCCGUCGAAAAGUUACGCAGCUAGCGAAAACAGAAACGCCACUAUAAUUGCCCCUAAGCACAUAAAGAGUCCAAUAAAUAAAACUAUAUAAUAGCAAUUGAAUUUGGGAAAACGAACGUUGGAAAUGGAUUCAAAACGUCGAAUUACCCUAAGAAGGGUCCCGGAUAAAUUUCGUAAAAGCCAAUAGAAUAUUCCUAGAAUAUUCCCUUACAGAAUAUUCCACAUAAAAGGUUUGAGCCGGCUAGGGUAUAGGGUUUUGGUCUCAAAGGGCUUUGGGGUUUAAUAAUUAAAAAGGGUAUGGGUUUAAAAGGUUUAAAGGGUUUAGUGGUUAACGGGCUAAGGGUCCUAACAGAAAUGGCCCAAGGCUUUUGGGUUUUAAAACAAAAACAAAAUAAAUAAAACUAAAAAAGGUUUGAAAGGUAUUGGGCUUGAAAGCCCAAACCCAAUUGUUUUGGGUUUGAAAUAAAAUAAAUAGAAACAAAAUAAAAUAAAAGAGGUUGGGUUGGGUUUAAGCAUGGCCCAAAGGGCCUGGUUCGAAUGGGUUUAGGCCCGAAGGCCUUGGUUUCUUGGUCUCACCGGAGAAAAAGGCCGGAAUUCGGCCGGAAACUUCCCUAACUUUAAACAUUCAUAACUUUGUCAAUAUUCAACGAAAUUAAGUGAUUCAAAAAUGGAAAUCGUAGCCCUCGAAGAGACGAAGAGAAUGGUACCUUGUAAGACAUCUAACUUGCCGUGGUUUGGCCGUAAAACACCUCGAAAGCCAUCAGACUCGCCGAAAAAUGGGUAAGAUUCAAAUGGAUAUAACUUCUUCAAUACUCAACGAAAUUGGGUGAAAAAAAAAGGAAAAUUGUAGUACUCAGCGAGAUGAAGAGAUUGAUACCUUGCACGCUAGCCAACUCGCCAUGGUUUGGCCGAAAAUUGCCUCGAAAGUCUCCGGAGUCGUCGAGGGAGACUUGGGUGUUCUCUGGGUGUCCCGGAGCUUCGCCGAGAUAAGGGAGAGAGAGAAGAAAGUUCCAUAGGUGAUGGUGGUGUCAUGGCUGGGUGGUUGUGGUGGUGGGUGUGUGUGUGUGUGGGUUUGACGAUGAGGAUGGAAGAGUGAGGUCGAGAGAGAGGGAGAGUGAGAGAAUAUGAAGGUUGAGAGAGAUGGAAGAGUGACGGGAAUGGGGGACACAAAAACAGAAGGUGGGCCCUUUGGGCACAUCAAUUAAGAAUUAAAAACUAUUUUUAAAUAAAAUGGGGGUGGGGUGUUACAGUCAGGGUCAGGGUCAAGGUUAAGGGCAGACGCCGAACCUUACAUGUCGGAGUCGAUGCCAGUGUGGUUGUCCGAACGUUUAGAGGAUCCUCCUACAGUUCCCAACUAUUUGAACGGUCACGUAAGUCACGUCAACAUUGUGUAUUGAUUUUUUCAAAGAGAGAAGAAAAAAAGUGAUGGAGGAGGAGACGAGACUUCAAAACGAAAACAAAAGGAAUUUCCCCGAAUUACAGGCUUGGUCUCAAUCAAAUUACUAUUUAUAUUUGAUAGAUCAAUUUAAAGGCCCAUAUCAAAUUUAUUCAGAGGACUAAACCCAAUGUUGAAGCCCGACUCAACCAUCCAAAAGCUCGACACAACUCAGGGGAACAGUGUUUUGCUAGCUUGCCCUAAAACGAGAGUAUAUAUUCAGAUUUAUAACCCAAAGAAGGGCUUUUAAGCUUCUCUUUCGCCUCUUUGGAAGCCAUUCAUUAUUCCUUGUCUGCAAUUCCAUUUCCUGAGCAGGAAUAAAAAAGAAAAACUUUUCUCCAUCUUAUUCGUUAUGUCGACUUCGUGCACCGACUCCUCAACCAAUUCAGAUGAUGAAGACAGGAGCACAAUGACUUGUCUCACAAAAAUAUAGGAUUUGGUGGCAUCGGUAAUUAAACAGGUGAAAUUCACUUUUCAAUCAUAAAUUUACGUUUCUCUAUAUUUUUCUAAAAUAUAAGAUUUGGGAAACUAUAUAUGUUUGGGCGUCAAUUCUAAACUAACUUGUGUCGUGACCAAACGUACCACUAGAUCCAAGUUCUUUCGAUUAGUCGGAAUGUGUACCUCAUGGCUGGUCUAAGGUCGGGCUGGGAAGAAAUGUUCCGAGGGCUAAAAGUGAUGGUAAGUAAAAAGUCUAAACUUAUAUCUUAUUACCUCAAAAAUAUAUACACUGAUUUUUGACUUUCACACUGACAAUUUUCAGAUUUGCCUGAGGAGGCUCUAGCUCGUCUAGCGUACCAAUUUCCUAGUGUUGGUGGCUCGAUGUCUAGCCUCGUAGUGGAUUGGGACACUACUAGUCCCAACCAACCCUCAGAUGUUUAGGCACGGGUCAAAAAUAGUAAGCAUCAAUAACUUCAGUUGAGAGAAGAAUAUAUUGCUUUUGUUUUUUUCUUGUAAAUAUAUGAUAAUACUUAUGUUAUGGGUCAUUAUUUAUGCAGCAUAAACCUUGGUUGCUUGACUGAUUACGAUCACAUGGAAGUGGGACAUGAAACACAUGCGUUUUAGGACACCAUGAUGUUACUUAUUCAAGCAUGUCUUUUGGAUCGCUAUUGUGGGGGUCUUGUUCGAGGUAACAAUCGUUAUUUAAACAUUUUUAAUUAGUAUUUUACCGAAAAAUUUGUCAAUAAAAUUGUAUAUUUAACUUACUAUUUUUAAUUAUAGGACGGAUCCUGCACAGAGAUAACUGACCAUUUCCCUGCUAUGUGAACUUCAUCAAAUAGGUCAUGCCAAACAUUCUCCUGCAUGCACUGAAUGUUUCUCUUGAGGAUUCUGAGCAAGUGUUUUAGUAGAUCUUUUAACCUAUUAGUUUGGAAGUAUACAUCAUAUGUUUCCUUGCUUGAAUGUUGAAUCCUAACUUUCGUGCUCUUUAAUGAAGAAUUUAAGUUCAUCUAUAUUCUCUAAUCUGAUAUGUUUCCUUGCUGAGAGCUAAUGUUGGGAACUCUUUUUUGAAACUUAUAUGGGAAAAAGGUUGGAUUAUAAGAUACUUUCUGUGGAUGCAAAUUUCUUCCUCCUUGAUCUUGGACAAAAUUGCACCUAUAAAACAAUUAACACCUUAGGGUCAAGGCCAAGAGCCUCACGCGCCCACGAUGAAUGGAGGGGCUUUGGCCGAAGAAUCUCUGAAAGUUAAAAUUUAGAGAGAAAAGUGUUUGGAGAGUAUUGGGAAUUUUGCAAGUGUGUUGGAAUGAUCUUUUGGUGAAAAUGGGACCCUAUUUAUAGGGAUAGGGUGUAACUUAUGGUUUAAUGUGUGAUUUAAUGGAUUAAUUAGGUAAUUAAUCCAUUAAUUGGUUAAUCAACACAUUUUUUGAAUAAAUAUUUUGGGGGUUAUUUAAUUUAUAUGGGAUGUUUUGAAGGUUAUGAAAUAAUUACCUUGUGGAAAAUAUAGGAUGAGGAUGGAUGAAAUAACUUUGAAUUUGUUAUCUAUUUUGGGCACUUUUGAUUUGGUUGAAGGAUGAUUGCCCGCUGCUCGUGAGUAGGAAUCUCGUUGUACCUCAAGGGUAUUUUUGUCAUCUUUUGUCCAAAAAUCCACGUGUUGCCUUGUGAUUAUUUUUGGCUCCACAAAUGCCCCCACACCUGUUGGGCUGCUCGUAGGAAAUGGCAGCAGGUGUAGAGAUCUUGCUUUAGGAAACGUAGGACUGCUUCCUAUUUUGAUGUAGAUUCUAUCUUUAAUAGGAAAUUAGGUCCUUCUAGGAAAGGGAAAUAAAUUUCUCUCAAAGCCUAUUUAAGUCCACCUUAAGUGGGUUAUUAAAUCAACUUUGGAGAGUCUACCCUACAAGAGAGUGAGCUUAGAGGAUAUUUGUUCCCCUUCAGCAAUCUUCUACAUCUUGCCCGUGCAAAUGACCGUCUUUCGUUGAUUUCUUCGUCUUCUCCGUGCCGCACCGAUGUAAGAAAAAUUUAAUUUUUUCUUGUCUUCUUCUUGGAUAGUGCUAUUGCGGGGUAGCCGUUGGAGUGGUGUAGCACGUCGGCUGGCAGGGGCCAGGAGUCGGCUCGGCAUGGGUCGAUGAGGCGUCGUGGCAGGGGCCACUGCUUGGGCUAUUUGUCUUGGCUAGAGCCAAGGGCAACUUGUGCGGCCGGGGUCGUGGAUUGUGGCGCUGGGGCACUAUGCUAGGCGAGCCGUAUGGCUCAUGUCCUUUGGGCUCUUGAACCUGACUCGGGCCAGGCUAGCGACUGAGAGAAAUGAAGAGGUCGUGGGAGCUCAUGAGUUGAUGCAAUGCUGAAACACAUGCCCAUCCGUUUCGGGAUGCCCCGAACACGCCCAACAUUCCAUAUCAAGAUGCACCCCCUUCCUUACAAGAUUAACUUUAGUAGGAAUAAUGUUCUGACUAAUUUUCCAAGUAAAAUUUUUUACCUUGGGGGGAAUUUUAGCCCUCCAAAUGGCCUUCCAGAGAGGUGAAAAAGCAUUACUCCCUUCGGACGAAGACGCGCCUGCCGAGGUGGAUUGUACCAACGCCCUAGCCACCCGAUGGCCACUACUCACCGUAAAAGCACCCCGAAGGUUGUAGAGCCAUACUAACCGAUUCGGCGGUAAGCGGAAGCUGAUCGGCAUCGUCCUAAUCAAGCCAACCUCCUCCGACGACGAAAACAACUCCUGUAACACCUCCAAUUUCCACGAGCGAGACUCUGUAUCAAUAAGUGCAGUCGUGUGUCCUGACAAUUGAGAAUGUUAGUGAAAAUAAUAAUCGGGUGUGAAACACCACUUUCUCCCUUUUGGUCAUGUGGUUGAGGGUGUGCGGUCGAUGCCAGGACAUAACAUUGCAGAUGAUUUUACGGUUUAACCAUAUUGGUCAAGCUAAUGGUGAUGCACACCGUCUUGCUCGAUUUGCUUUACAUAGAGGUGUAGCUUGCACUUGUUUUCUAUACGUAUGAAUUGGGGAACUUAAAGGAAGGUAAGGAAUACUUGGAGUUGACGGAAGACUUGACGCAACAUUAAGCACAGUAGCCUUCUAGGAUUCACAUUUAGUGGGAUAAUGCUUGGUUGUUAUACUUUUUUUUUUCUUGGUUAAGUUGAAAGCCUCGACAAAAUUUUAUAACGCUAUAUUCUGCAUUCUAUCCUCUUGUACAAUAACUGUUAUCAAUGAAUAUCGUACUAUUCUCGGGGCACACUUAAUGGCAUGGAUCAGUACUUAGAAUUUUAAUAAAGAGUUGAGUAAUAUUAACCACCAAUUAAAGAGGAAAUGUUCACUCUCCUCCAUUAGCACCAACUUGACAAAAGUCAGCGCGAAUCAGUUCUGGGCGAUUAUAAAUUUACUGUAAAACGUGAGAGCACAGGUUUUUCAGUUCUUCCUUUAGCUCACUAUUUACCCCAUGUUACCGGAGCUUGAAAUUUGCUAAGCAUGUCAAACAAAUUUCAAGGGCGAGUCUUGGUGCAACAUAAAAGAUUACUCCUUUGUGACCAAAAAGUGACGGGUUCGAGUCGUAAAAAUAACCUAUUUGCAAAGCAAGGGUAAGGUUGCGUGUGAUGAACGCUCACCCUGACACUCGCCAAGCAAGGAACCUUGUCGGCUUGGAGUCGGCUUUCUGUCAAAGAAAAUUUACAUCCUUUCACUUCAAACUUUCAUGUAAUAUUUCUUAUUGAUAACUAACAAUAUAUUCCACUGAAAUACCCCAAAUCAGGGGAUGAAAUUUUAACACAUGAAAAAAGAUCAAACGUAAACCGUACAACGAUCUUACAACAAGAAGCCCUACGGAUUGCAUGUAUUCAUUACAAGGUGAAACUGCCUAGGACGGCUAAACUCCACCGGAGAUCACGAUACGUGAAAAUUUUGGAUUUCGAUUCGUAGUGUUUGAAGUUGUUUAUCAACAUUGGAUAUUUCAUCUUGAAGCUCUAGGAGUUUGUCUAGUCUCUGCUGCGCCGUAUCUUGGUAAGGCUGGCUAACGUUCUUCACGAAGAUUUCCAUAUUUCCAAUAGCUUCGGAAAGAUCAUUCUGCAUCGCCUCUUCAACUUCACGUGCCAAGGCGUCUGCAGUCCUUUUCACCUUCUCUAUCAUCUCUUGCCGACGAGCUGGAAAUUUUGAUAUUGCUAAUAACCUAUAUCAAAGAAGAAGCAAAUAAUACACAUGAAUUAUACGUCGCAGAGGAAAGGAGUUCUGCCAUGUUUGAGCAAAACCUUGACAUUCAAGGCUCAAGCUUCAAGAAUUGAAAGAUAUCUGCAAGUAAAUGACGGCAGACACGAAUAGUCAAAUUCCAGAAUACACGUUACCCGCCAGCUGAGGCAAGACCAAGAGCAAGAAGAUCUUCUAAUGUGGUCGGCAGCACAGAUGUCAGAAGUGAAGCAGAUAAACCUGCCGCUCCAAGUCCACCAAAAGUUGCCAGAGACUGCAGUUGAAGCAAAAAAUGUCCAAAACAGAUUGACUUAAUCAUAACUAGUUCUUCAUCAAGAACAUCAACUUUUAGUUCAUAUUCUAUACUGAGCUUACCACUUCACGUAUUUCUUGCUCAAACAAUUUGGAAGCAGCACUGGUACUGAAGCCCUCUUUCACUUUCAAGCUGAGUUCGUUUACUUUCUUCAGCGAAUUCUCCGAAUGCACCCCACUGUACGGAUAGACAAAUGAAGGCCAACGUUUUUCAAACAUUUCUGCAUACAUCCUUCCUUCACGAGCACUAUCUGAUUGCAACCAUGUCACAUAUUCUCCAAGUUGUUUCUUUAUGACAAGAUGUUGACAUUAAACAAAAAAAAAGAAGAAGAAUUAAAACCCACAAAACCAAUAGAUAAAGGAAGAAAAACAAUUAGAGAAUAUAAUUCUUUUAAUUCCUAUGCUGAACAGGAGAUGAAAUUCUGUCUUAUGAACUCAUACAGGCAUAAUCCUUGCAUAAUUCAAAUUAGACUGCAGGGCUAGACAAAGGAAUAGGGGAAAAAGCUAUUAACUUACUUGCGCAUCUGAAAAUGCAGUACCCAUUAUGUCAUUUUGAACCCUCAAGGUGGUAGCAAUCGUGGAGGAUUUUUCCCCUUUGAAAACAUAGUUAGCAACAGAUCAAGAUUUGAUAAUUGCUAAUAUCAAUCUGCAAUUUCAUGUGCAUGCACAAUGCGUUAACUCAUGUUUGAAAAUAUACAACCAAUUUGCCACUGGAUCAAAUUGUGCAAAACAUACCACAGAUAAAAUUCUUCUUCUCCAAGCUAUGCUUUCAUUUUUCCAUCUUAACUGCAUAGUUCUUAACACUGCCAACUAUAUCAUUUAUUGAGGCCAAGUCCUGCUUGGCAUAUCGGCAGUCCUGUGGGACAAGAGUUUCACAAGCAGAAAGUAGCUUUUCUGCAAUUGCUACCGGUGUUUCCAGUUUAAUUUUCAUUCUUUCCAUUCCUAUGCUUGUUGACCCGUCUAAGAAACUAUACAAGAAAUUCUCAAGUUCAGAGAAAUUACUACUUUUCCACUGAGCAUCAGAUGUUGAUAGUUCUGCAUAAUUUUUCCCAAACAUAGAAGCUGAAAGUUUUGCUUCAAGAGCAGAGCGCACAGACACAGGAAAUAAAGUCACAUGUUCAGUAUUCAAAAGUUUUUGUGCAUUCUUCUCGAUGAAUGACAUAGCUUCCUCAAGCUGCAGAAAUAAUGAAAUUAGAUAAAGCAACAUGAAGACAAUUGAGAAGCUCAAACUGAUAUAGAAGCAUCAUAUUAACAGGUUUUUUUUCUGCAAUAGGAUUACUAAAGGUAAUAUCAACAUUCAAUAUGCAUGAAAUGCUAGAACCUCAUGGGCAUUGCGGUAGAUAUCAGAUUUAUUCAAGACAAACACAACUUUCUUCUUCCACUGCUGAGUAUAACGAAGAAACGCAACCUGGAGAAAACACCAGUGACAAAAUUGAAUUCAGCUUUAGUGAAAAUAAUGAAUAGGUAAAACUAUUGCACCAGUCUAACAUAUAUAAUUAACCAAAGUCAGAAUCAGUUAAAAGACUUUGAGACCCGCAACAAUGUUUUUCUAGCCAUAUAGCUCAGCUACUUGCAGCUUUGGACUAUUAUCUACCAACGGAGAAUCCUUCGAUAAACCUUGUUAUCAAUCACAUUCGAAUAGAGGGGAAUGAUCUUUCCGAGAUGUAUAUUUUAACUAGCAUCCAGUUAUUCUGUAUAAAUUAUUAUUAUUAUUAUUAUUUUUUGUAAGAAAGAAGCCUGGAAAAAAGAAUGAGAUGCAACCAUAUAAGCCUGUGAAAUCUUUGUUUGUCAAUUUGUAGUCUAUGGAUGCAUUGAGCAGCAUGUCAUGCAAUUUGACGAACAAAACGAACAAAACAAAUCAUACCUCACUUUCAGUUAACGGGCGAUCAGCAGAGAUGACAAAAAGAAGCAAAUCGGCACGGGGCACAAAUUCCUCAGUAAGGCGUUGUUGCCUUUGGAGAAUCACAUUAGUUCCAGGUGUAUCAACAACGUUCAUCUGCGUCCAAUUUAAAAUAAAAUAAGUACGUACUACAAAAUGUAUUUUUAAUCAUAAAGUAGCAUUAAUCUAAUCCUGGGAAGAUGAUAGACUAGAUGUGCAGUAGAUUUUUUGUUCUGCCUGCAACACACAACUUUUUAUCUUGUGCAUCCAACCAUCAUGAUACGUAUGAUAUUCAAGUAAACGAAGGCAGACUAACCAUAUAAAAAACCUAUUAAUAAGGGAUUGUACCAUUUGAACUGAAUAUAAGAGUUUGAAAUCUACUCACUUCUUUAAGAAUUGGAGCAGGAAGGUGGCAUAUAUAUUGACCAUCUGGAUGCCUUUCACAACGCUGUUCCUCACCAGCAUCCAUCUCAGUGUACCGUGAGAUGUUUAUUCCCGAGAAGGGCAUUGAUAACAGUUGACUUGCCUGAGUUAAAUUCACCCUGUUGACAUAAAGAGAGAAAGUGUCAUAGGAGAACCACCAUAAACAUUCUGACAGAGUUCAUGAAUAAAGCCAACUGUAGAAAAUGACACGAUACUCCCCUCAUGAUUCUUCUAGCUCAAACAUGACAAAUAACUAAAUUAAGGUGUACUUCUAAAACAGUCAGUUUGGAAGCAUUAAUCCAAACAAAGACCAAACAAGAACUAGUGCCCUUUGGCAAAUUGAAGGCAAGAUGACAAGAUGACCACUCAUGCGACCAAACGUAUUGUCCUAGGCGUAUACAAUAGCAGACGAGACGUAGUGUAGUUAAUUCCUAAAGGUUAGCUAAGGGUAUAUAGAUGAUAGAACCAAACUGUUUGUCGGGUCUGCAUUUGAAACCAAUAAUGGCUUACAAAUUUAAAUAUCACUGAACUUUUUUAUUAGCAAUUCUCACGAACUACUGCAUAACUGUUAUCAAAGGCCACCUCAAUUCUAAAUUCUAUAUACUAUGAAGAAAAGAAGGAUUUACAUGAAAUAUAGAGCUAAUGCCAAUGUAUAUUCCUGGAACCACAAUUUGUUGAAGUUCAGCACACAAUUACCACUAUAACCAGCAAAAAUGGCUCAUCAAUUUGAGAAACCGCAUCAACGAGAAGUGAAACCUCCUCCAUCUGUCAUUCAAAAUCAAUAUUCCACUUUUAAUCAUAAAGUAUACGAAUAAAAAUGAAUGAAAUUAUGAUUAUCUCAAUAUUAACUUUAACUACCAAAUUCUUUAAUUAAAUGAUCACCAGUGGAGCAGCUUUCUGGAUGACAUUUAUUGCUUUAAGCAACACUGAUAUUUCUGCUUCUAUGAACUUUUUUUCUCUAUUCUCCAAUUUAAGAAAACCAGCAACACUUGUACUGUCGAUGGGACCAUCAUGAGCAUCCACAUUUUCCUUCUUAUAUAAGGCGUUAUAAGAAGUGAACGUGACAAAUAUUGGUAGCUUUACAGUUUUAAACAGACUGUUGAGUGCCAGAAGAACAUUUUCCUGUCCGGCAAUAUCGUACAUAAGAAAGUCAGCUCCUUCAGAGUUGGAUGCAUUUAUGGCACCAUCUAUAUCUUGCACAUAUCUUGCCACCAAAGGAAGGACAACCGAAUCGGAUUUAGAAGCCAGCAUUGUGCUUCUUGCUACAAUGGCAGGAAGACCUAUGUAAGAAGAAACAAAACACAUCAUUCACGACGUUACCAAAAAACACAUCACUGACCGAGUCCACGGAUUUUCGAUACCAAAUGCACCGAACUUCUAUAAAGAAAUGAAAAAGCAUUACUCCCUUGGGACGAAGACGCGCCCGCCGAGGUGGAUUGUACCAACGCCCUAGCCACCCGAUAGCCACUACUCACAGUAUAAGCACCCCGAAGGUUGUAGUGCCAUACUAACCGAUCCGGCGGUAAGCGGAAGACAACUCCUGUAACACAUCCAAUUUCCACGAGCAAGACUCUGUAUCAAUAAGUGCAGUCGUGUGUCCUGACAAUUGAGCAUGUUAGUGAAAAUAAUAAUCGGGUGUGAAACACCACUUUCUCCCUUUUGGUCAUGUGGUUGAGGGUGUGCGGUCGAUGCCAGGACAUAACAUUGCAGAUGAUUUUACGGUUUAACCAUAUUGGUCAAGCUAAUGGUGAUGCACACCGUCUUGCUCGAUUUGCUUUACAUAUAGGUGUAGCUUGCUGCACUUGUUUUCUAUACGUACGAAUUGGGGAACUUAAAGGAAGGUAAGGAAUACUUGGAGUUAACGGAAGACUUGCCUUCUAGGAUUCACAUUUAGUGGGAUAAUGCUUGGUUGUUGUACUUUUUUUUCUUGGUUAAGUUGAAAGCCUCGACAAAAUUUUAUAACGCUAUGUUCUGCACUCUAUCCUCUUGUACAAUAACUGUUAUCAAUGAAUAUCGUACUAUUCUCGGGGCACACUUAAUGGCAUGGAUUAGUACUUAGAAUUUUAAUAAAGAGUUGAGUAAUAUUAACCACCAAUUAGAGAGGAAAUGUUCACUCUCCUUCAUUAGCACCAACUUGACAAAAGUCAGCACGAAUCAGUUUUGGGCGGUUAUAAAUUUACUGUAAAACGUGAGAGCACAGAUUUUUCAGUUCUUCCUUUAGCUCACUAUUUACCCGAUGUUACCGGAGCUUGAAAUUUGCUAAGCAUGUCAAGAGCAUAAUAACGUACAAGCAAAUAUUAAGUUCAGUAUGAAAACAACUACUAGUAGCUGGCUGUAAUUCAAAUAUGCGAAAUAUACACCUCAAACAGGGAGGAAGAGAUGAUGUUAGAAUAACAACAAAUCCUGGCAUGCUUAAAUAAUGUUACGAUCCAAAAUGCUACAAGGUUCUACUUUGCAUACAUCCAUGUGUAACAAACAUGUAUGGUUUUGUGUACCAUUAAGUUAAAGCCACCUCAAGCCGACGGACUUGACCUGCAUCACCGUCAUAAUCUUCCUCACUUUUAAAUAGUUCAUCACGAUCAGUAGCCUUUUUCUUUUGAUUGGCUUCAUCAGGAUCCAGAAGGGCAUUGAGAAUAUGAAUGAGACAGCACGAAUCAAGGGAGAGAUUGUUAUCAAUAGGCUGCAAACAGAAAAAGGAAACAAGUAUGAAAAGCAUACGGUAUGAACAGCAUACGGUACGGAUGAAGGACCAAAAAAUCAAAGUUAAAACCAAAUAGAGGUCUCCAACUCAGACAUGAAUGACAUUGACAACCGAUUUUGGUAACUGGAUCCAACAAAAAUCAAAUGAGGAAAAACAAGUUUUCAGUGACACAAGGUCGAUAAAGUGGAGUAAACGUAGCUCUCAAUAUUCAUACGAACGAUAUAUUCAAUCAGUGAUGGUACUUUUGUUUUGUCAUCCAUGAACUUAAGUAACAGGUCAUUCUUCAUCAUGGCAACAUUUCAUGACCCACAAUCACGUCCUCUGAAAACGUAAAUUUCAAGGAAAAAUAAGACCUCUAUUUUCUAUUUUAUUUUGGAGGAAGAAGUAACAUUCAAUCGAAAUAAGGGUUCACACAGACAUAAAGUAAAAGAAAUGUACCUGAUGAAAGGAUGAAACCAUCAGAGCUAACUACUUAACAAAGAAAAACUCUUACAUAUAUGUUCUGAAAGGUAACAAGCGUUCAAUAGAAGCUGGUAAAAGAGAGGAGUAUACAGUAGAACCAGUUCUUUUACCAGCCAAGCACAUCUCCUAAUGAAUGGAAAGUAACAAAAAAGGAAACAGAACACAUCCUAAUGAAUUCUCUCCCAUUAGGAUCAAAUAAAUGGAUUCUCUCCCAUUUUCCAUUUCCCUGCCCCCUUCAUUCUUUUCUAUGAAGUCGGAUGCUACAAAUGAGAAAGUAACGUUUGGUACCUUUCAGAAACAUAUAUGAAAGAGCUUUUCUUUGUUCGGCAUUACGUAUAUCCUCCCUAAGCCAGACACCACCAGCUUCUACCGGCUAAAAAUGUUAUCAUAUCAGAACCAAGACAUACUAAGGCUGCAGAAAAUCACAUUAAAAUAACACAGCACAAGGAAUAGAUGUUUAGUUCAACGAAAAGAAGGAAGGCCGAUGAACCAAUUACCAGGUCUAUAUGAUACUUCCACACAUACAAGCGGCAAAUCCAUGAUGCCCAUGGUAUAUGUAGAAUCACGCAUAUAAUAUAUUACCAUACCAGAUGAUGUUUGCAAAUAUAUUUUGCUGUGCUCCUGUUGUCAUUGACCAAGAGAAGAACAAGAAUCUGGAAAGAUAACCACAACUUAGCACAAACAAAAUCCGAAUUACGGGUUCUAAAACCUAAUUUAAGAUUAUGACUCUGGAAAAUGUUGCUAUCCAACUAUGUCUUUACAAAUAGGGAAGGCUGUGCAGCAGAACCGGGCUCUCCUUAUGUCGAGAGAAGACUGUCAAAGAGCCAUUCGCAACCAUCUGAACGAGCAACUGAAGAGAAUCAUCCUCAAUCAAACUUUGUGCUGCCAAAGUAUGGUUUGCCAGUGCUUUCAUAAUAUGCACAGCAAUCCCAUGUACCCGCAUAAUUAUAGGUUAGAAACAAAAAGAAGGUUAAAAACAUACCAUGAACCGAUAACCUAACAAAUACAAGAGCACAGUAACGUACAAGCAAAGAUUAAGUUCAGUAUGAAAAAAAUGCCACGCGCUACUACUGGCUGUAGUUCAAAUAUGUUAAAUAUACACCUCAAACAGGGAAAAAGACAGAUGUUAGAAUAACAACAAAUCCUGGCAUGUUCAAAAAAUGUCGCGCUUCAAAAUGCUACAAGGUUCUACUAAUACCAAACACAACGUAACAGCUAUUAAGCCUACUGUGUUUUCAAAAUCAGACUUUGCAUAUGUCAAUGUGUAACAAACAUGUGUAGUUUUAUGUACCAUUAAGUAAAAGCUACCUCAAGCCGAUGGACCUGACCUGCAUCACCGUCAUAAUCUUUCUCAGUUGGAAAUGGUUCAUCACGAUCAGUAGCCUUUUGCUUUUGAUUGGCUUCAUCAGGAUCCAGAUGAGCAUUGAGAAUAUGAAUGAGACAGCACAAUAUCCCCGAAUCAAGGAGAGAGUGUUUAUCAAUAUGCUGCAAACAGAAAAAGGAAACAAGCAUGGACAGCGUAGGGUACGAAUGAAGGACAAAAAAAUCACUCAAGUCCGUCACAACCAAAGAGGUAUCCUAAUCUGGUGAAAUUAAGAAAUUCUACCCCAGAAGCUAGAACUUGUAGAGCAGUUAACAAACUUGACAUGACAACAGAUUUUGGUAAUUGGAAGGAAAAACAAGUUUUCACUUUUCAGUGACGCAGGGACACUCAAGUGGAGUGAACGUAGCUCAGGAUUCAUACGCACGAUAUAUUCAAUAAGUGAUGGUACUUUUGUUUUGUCAUCCAUGAACUUACAUAGAAGUAACGGGUAAUUCUUCAUGAUGGCAAGAGUUAUAUCUCGUCUGUUGUGUUCAAAUACUUCCUGGAAAAUUCAGAAUCGCGUCCUCUUUUGUAUAUUUUCGUCCAAACCAACAUAAAUCAACACGCAGAGUUGUGGCAGGCAAAAAGACACUAUAAACAGGACAGUAAACUUGAAGGAAAGCAUGCUUUGACUAACAUGGACAAAUACCAAGCAAGACAAAGAUAACACAACAUUUUUGCUAUGAUUUACAAAGUAUGGCUUUCGAUUAUCAGUGGCGGGAAACAAUCCUCUCCCCUACAGGCUACAGCCUUUUUAACAGAUGCACAAGGAAUUGGUAUCGUACCAAGUUUGUUGCAUCCUCCUCUUCAUCAUCAGUAAGCUCAAUCAAUGGAUUCUCAUCAUCGAAAAGCAAAAGCAUAGUGCAAAAUACUAAACACCAGCUUAAGAGAAAAUAAACUAAAUAGAAAGCUGAUACUAACACUUGCAUUUUCCAAACACAGUAUCCCCGAAGCACUCUUAGAAGCAGAACAAGAGGAAAAUAAAUGAGGUUUGUCAGUCUAGCACUCAAGCAUAAAGGAAAUUACAAACCAACCAACUCAACUAUUUAAUAACUAGUGGAUAAUUUCUAAUGGCGUUUCCAAUAUGGUUAUUCGAUCGUAAUUAGUUCGGGAAUUGAAGUACCAAUCAAGGUGAGAUACCGGCGAGUUUCUGCGGCGGAAGGUCCAGCGCAGGUCGACCUCGUUUCUUCGAAGUCACCGAUCGGCAGGUCGACCUCGUUUCUCAUGGUCCUCAGUGCUCUGAGUCUGAGUGUGAGCCUUAGUCCUCUUCUGCUACUCAACAACGAACGAACGAACGAACCAAAUCAGGUCAAAUUGUACAGACAACUUCACAGAAUUGAGAGAGGUAGAGAGAGAGGGGAGAAAAUAAUGAAACGUACUCGACGGUGGUUUCGUGGCGGUGGCCGACGGUGGCUCCUCCAUGGCCGACGAGCACAAGUCAUAGCUCCAAGGACGACAUGUCAUUUUUCAGAGUUCACACUGAUUUGAAAAAAAUAAAUAAAAUAAAACAAAUUAAGCACAAGUCAUAGCCCCAAGGGUUUUGAGUUUUGAGUUUUAACUCAUAUUUGCCCCAAGGGUUGCCUGUGGAGUUGCCCUCAGUCCAUUUGCUCCAGCCCGUGGAGUUGCCUGGCACCCAGCCCAUGCCAGGCAAUAGCCCAGCACGUUUUGGACUGACCAAGAAGCUGGCCUGUUUCUCAGGCACGUGCAACACAAGCGCGCAAGGCGCGAGUGGGUUUCAGGCUUUCCUGAAAAUGUGUCAGCCCACUUGGCUCAGCGACGUGGUGUUAUGAUAGCCGUUGGAUUUCCAACGGCUAGUUUUUCUAGACCGUUGGAUUUCCAACGGUAAAAAAAAAUUAAAUUUUACUUUUAAACUGGACCGUCCGAUCAAAGAUCAACGGUCCAUAUUAAUUAACUUAAUUAAAAUUUAUUAAAAAAUACAGAAAAAUUAUUAAAAAAUACAGAAAAUUUAAAAAAAAAUUAUUUUUUUCUUUCUAUAGUUUAUCUGAUGAGUUUAUGUAAUUUUAUUUUAGUGUGUUUUUUUUAAAUUUAUUUGAUGAGUAUGUAAUUUUAUUUCAAUGUGUUUUUUUUUAAGUUUAUUUGAAAUUUUAUCCAAAAUUGGUUAAAAAUCAUAUCCGAAAUAAACUUAAAAAAAAAAAAACACACCAAAUAAAUGCGCUGGGUGCCAGCGCAUUUUUUUAGGGAUGGAGAUGCUUUGGUCUGUUACUGUUCACUGGGGUCUAUUAUUGUUUACUUGAGUGGAUAAAUGCGCUGGGUGCUGGCACAAAGUCCUUAGGGGUGGACUUGCUCUAAGGUCUGCAAAAUGCUGCCCGCACCUUAGAAAACGCGACCAAACAAUACUCUAAACCCAUAAGACCUACUCCAACCCUUGUAGUAAAACUUAAAUUUUAGGUUCUAAAUUUACCCCAAUUUAUUUCAACCCUUGGGGCAAAUAUGAGUUAAAACUCAAAACUCAUUUUUGAGCCAAAUUAGAUCGUAAGGGAUUGGCACAUUGAAGAAAGGUUGCCUUAUACCUGUACGGACAGGUUUGCGGUCCCAGAUAAAACUAAUAACCACCAGAGAAGUCCACAAGCUUUCCGUGGGGAUUACAGGUGGGUCCCAUCCUAAGGCCUUCAUGUUUCAGCGCGCCGCAUAGCAUUAGCAUAGGGGGCUGUAAUGAUCGCUCUGUCUCUGACCCUCUGUGCCAACCCACAAAAUCAAACAAUCAUUUUUUUUAAUUUUUUUUAAAGAUAUUGCUGAGGUUUCAUUUUCCAUGGUGACCAACUCUCUUUGCCAUUUCUAUGAAUGACUGUAUACUUGUGCCUUGUCAUUCAGAAUUACGAUCUUGUGAUAUAUUUUUUUUAUUUGUGAGUGAAAUGUUUUAGGUUCGAAUCUCGUGGAUGACGAAUUCAAUACCAAAUUAGGUUGCCUAUUGUGUGGCUUCCAAACUCCCCAUCCCCUUAGUGUAAAAUAUAUCGUUGUACUAAAAAAAAAAAAAAAAAAAAAAAAAGACUUGUGCCUUGUAUUUGGUUAAAGGUGUUGCUAUGGAGACUAAUUAUUUAGGCCAAAGUUUGUAAUAUAAUUUUUAUGCAUUUUUUCAUGUGUUUGCACGCGUUUAGUUAUUUUCUCCAUCGCCGUAACCUAGGAAUGUUUUUGGCUAGCCAACAAAUGUGUUCAAGAGUUAAAUGUAGAGUUGAUAUAACUCGACGAUCUGAUUGAUGUUUGGCAAUACACUUGUAUACACAUCUGUGACUUGACGAACAAGAAACGCAAACAAGGCGAUUAAUUUGGAUAUUGAUGGUUAAAAUGUUCAUAAGAGAAAAGAAAAAGGGCCAAUAUUAGUGAUUACAUCCAUUUCUCUUUGUUUGGGCCCAAAAAUAUUGUUUUGGGUCGAGUUUAGAAUUGUUCUCGGCCCAGUGUUGGUUGGGCCGAGUUAAGAAUCCUUCUCGGGUCAAAGGCCGUGUACAUGUGUCGUUGGGGAUUAUUCAGCUCAUGGGCUACGCAGUCGAAGUUGGCAAUAUCCCAUUGGGAAUUGGGGAUGUGGGUGAGUCCUGUUAUGAGAAGGAAUUUCGACAGGAUCAAGAUGCUGGAAUUGAAUACGGCCUGGUAACGAGUUAUGUUCAAAGUCCUAGUAGGAAUAGGAUUUGGCCGAGAUAAAGUUGGAUCAGGGAAAAGAGUUAUAAUCCGGGAGUGAUUGGGAUUCAAUACAGGUUGGCUGCUAUAAAUAGGGAGGGAAAACAUCGAAACAAGCUCUCUCUAAUUCAACACACAAAUUGCCCUGCGCAUACCCUCGCUCUACGCGAAACCUCUAAACAACCUUGAGAUUUUUGUUUUCCCUUUUCCGCCAACACAUCUUCAGUUAUGAUAAACAGCAUUGUGGAGGCAACCGGCAAACAUCUUCAGUUUGGAUGAACAGCACUGUUGCCGUAGAAUCAGCCAACCGUGGAGCACCUUCAGUUUGGAUAAACAGCACUGCGACAUGGCCGACUAGUUAUAUAUCCAAGUCUUGAUCGAGAAGGAUUUUCGAAUCCUUAUCGGCAGAGGUCAUCUCGGCGAAGCGAGGUGUUACAAGUUACUAUACUCGGUGCUUUGAACGCCGAGUCGUUUAGGAUUGGUUAUUCGCAAGUAGGUUUUAAAGUUUGGCAUUCUGACGGGCGAACCACUUUCACAAUCAAGACAUAUAUUUGUUUUGAAUACUUGUGUCCCUAUACUUUGGUGUCGAUUCGGCGUGCUUAUACUUUUACGAAUAUAAUUACGGUGACCGAAUCCGGGGUCGACGAUUUGUAAACUUCGCAGAACUAGUAGCUUUGUCUUUAAGCUCUAGAACCUAAAGACAAUAACACCAUCCCAACAUCAUAUGUCAUUUCUCAUGCAUAUAAAUGAGAGGGAAAAAUAAAAUUAAGGAUAAGAAUUAGCGAGAAAAAAUAGAGUGAAAGUUUUGCUUAUUUAUUUGUUUUUAGUUUUUUAAUCAUUUUUAAGAGUGAAAUGACUUGACUAUCCUCACAUGUUGUGCACAUGGUCUCACUUAACGGAAAUAUGGAUGGAAUAUAUGAAAAACUAACGGUAGGGGGCAAAUCGGCUAAAAGUCCUUAAUUUUCCAAUAGCAAAGUUCAGAGGGAAAUCAAAAGUUAGGUGAAAGUUCAGAGAGUAAAUCGACAGUUUACUCAAAAUUUAAUAAUGUUCUCCCUUUGAAAAAUAAUUGUUGCCGGUCCUUUUGUAAUUGCACUGGAACAUACUAGCACCUAGCCACCCGCCAUAUCCCAAUCCAUCCCAACAUCACUUUUCACUACUAGUCAACUUUCCAAAAGACCAACUCUACGAAACAUUUUUGUACGGUUCAACGGUUAUCAAAUGCCAAAAGACGAGAAAAAUUAAUAUCGCCUUGCAUAACUCGAUGACAUAUAAGAAUAAUUAAAAUCUAGACGCUGGAGAAACAAUAGCGAAUAUGAGCAAAACCAAAUUAAAAGACCCGUUUGGUAACUAUUUGAUUUUUAGUUUGUACUUUUUUUUCGUGUUUGAGAUAGAUAGAUAGCGGAAACGAAUAAAAAUUUCUUUUGUUUUAUAUUUAUUGAAGCCAACAAGUAACCACUGCUCUUCUAGUUAAAACUCAACAAGGUCAAAAAGUUACAACUUAUCUCAACCAACUGGGGAUAUUAUAAGGGGUUUGCUAUUCGCAUAGUCUUUUUACUUUUUACUCACUCCUGUGAAUUUUUGUUCAUUGAUCUUCUUCAAUUCAUUCCCAAAAAUUAAGAUGAGUGUAUGAGAGAAAAAAUGUGAAAUCCCGUCUCCGAAUUCCAUUAUUUAUUUACGUAUUUAGUAUUUACGCAAUUUUUAUCUUUUUAUCUAUGUUUGCUGAUUAUUGAUUAGAGUUUAGUAUAUAUAACAUGAUUUUGGACACGUCUUGUCCAACAUGUAUAGUUUUGUGUGUUUGUGCCGUCGAAUUAAGAUGUAGGAUAAUAGAUACGUGUCUAAAAUCCUACGUAUCGAAUGUGAAGAUGUUUUUCUCAUUGGGUGUGAACUAGAGGUAAGGUGAACAACGCAUGCGUCUUAGCUCUCACUUAAAUUAGACCUCAUACCUUUCAUCAUUUAUCGUAUUGUUGAUAAAAAAGAAGAGGACACAAAAAUAUCUCAUUCUCAUAAAUUUAAAGAAAACUAAUGAAAAAGGCUUGAAAACUUUGAGUUUUAACGAUAAGGACAAAACAAAGGGUAAAAUGAAUAGUACUAGGUUUGACUUUUUAGUGUAAAAAUGUGAUUUUUCGUUAAAGUGAACAGUAUUGCGGGUUUUUCGUUAAAACUCCCUAAAUUCAAUGUGACGUGCCUUAUAUUCAUAUCGUUGUGGGAAAAAAAAAUCAUAUUAAGGUACUAAAGUAUAUGCAGGCCUCAUUUUAUUACCGCGUUAGACCUCAAUUUACAUUGGAAUGAUUUUGAUGUGGAGAAAUAAUUCAACCUCGAUAAAAUAUCUUUUAUGUAUUCAUUUUUUAUUAUCUUAUGCACCACCACCACCACAUCUAUUAUACUCGUAACGAGGCCGACCGAGCUCGGUUUCGAACCACUAUUAGACUAGACAUUGUAAUGCUUAGAAUUUCUCAAGAAACAUGUAUGUUUAGUAAUCCACGGAAAUCACAAUGAAAAUAAGGAGUAAUGUGGCACGGUAACAACGAAGUUGAAAAGGGACUGGGGCCCACACAAAAAUGGAAAUUGAUAUGCUGAUACGGGGUUUGAAGGAGCUAGCGGGUAUUUUUUUUAUGGCCGUAAGAUCUCAAAUAACAACUAAUCUGUCUGUCAUGCUUUAAUGGGGUGGAUAGAUUUUUAAUUUUCACGUACCUCUUCCUUAAUUUCAGCCGUGGGAUCAAAAUAAUUUGAAAACGAUCUAAGAAUAAAAAUGAGCAAAGAGUAUGUGAAGGGCACCAUCAACUCUGAAAUAUAUUUUUCAUCAAUUCAAAGGUCACAUCACUUCCUCCUCUCUCACAGCUACCCAACGCAGAAAAAGAACAUGAGUGCAUUUCGACAGUUCUUCAAGCGGCUGACUGGAGGCAAAGCAGGAGGUACCUCCGCUGCCGCCGUUGAACCAAAGGUGAAGGUGGAAUUCGACGUUUCUUCGUCCCACCCCAGACAUGUGGUCAAAUUUUUCAUCCAUCCAGAGGACGAAGAAAGUGUGAAGAAAAUGAUUGCUGCCAAGCCCCCUGGGAUUAUGGCUUGGCUUUCGAAUAUCAACCUCCUAGCCGGCAGUGCGGAUCUGUUGUGGAAGUCCGGAAAAACACUGUUAAAGGCGAAGGAGAGUAGCUUGAAGGAAGCGUUAAAGGGCGAAGGCUGUUGCUUCAGCAAGCAGAGUGAGCGGCGCAUCGUUUCCAUGUUUCACCAGUCGUGUGAGAACACCGCACGUCUUGCGUACCUGGAGCAGGUUGCAGAACAUUACGCAAAAUAUGGAGUCACCAAGGGGUCUCCUCCUCCUCCUGUCCGUCCUCUACCACCGUCGAAGCAGGAGGCAAAUGGCAACAACAACGGGAAAGGCAAUGGCAACGGGAAGGGGCAAGGGCAAGGGAAAGGCGAGGGCGACGGCAAUGGCAACGGAAAAGGCAACGGCAAUGGAAACGGAAAUGGGAAGGGGAACGGGAACGGAGGACCACCAGCCCUCCCUGAAAAUGACACCCUGCCGGAACCAUUCGAGUUGCCAUUUUAAAAGGUAAACUCGGGACUCUCAAAUGUCAAUGAGUAAAAAAAUUAAUUAUGGCAUUCUUCUUUCUUCUGUUUGCAGAUUAGGGUUUGUUUAGAGGUCGUUUUGGGAUUUAUUUUUUUCUGAAAGUCUUUUUAGAGGAGGAAGGUUGCAUAUAUUCACUGUUUUAACCCUCUUGAUUUUUCGUUUGGAUUUGAUUCAAUUCGUGAAUUUGCCAAUUAUGUUUGUUUUUGUGUGAUUAGAAAAUGGAAAGACAUUGUUGUUGGGAAAUAAAAAUUCAUGAAAGCAGUUUUUAUAAUUUUUGUGUGGUAGUAAAUUGGUAAUGAAGGCACUGCAUUGACUUUUUAUUGUUCAAUCGUAUGCAGGAUCAUUUGGUGGAAGAGCAGAAUGAUGUGAAUAAGAUUUUGAACAUUCAGGCUAAGAAAGGAACAAAAGAGUUUUUUGAUAGUUUCUUUUAGUGAACGAGGCAGAUUUUGUCAGUAGGUUUUGUUGCUCGAUGAAUUUGGAUUGUAAAAAUUGGAAUGCUUUUUAGCUGGUUAACCAACAUAUGAAACCUCCAUCUUCGUUUGUGGGUAUUUUGAACAAAGACUGUCUUCCAUGUCCUCUUUAGGUGGGGGGAUUUUUUUGUAUAGGGAUUUGGGAUGACGCUGGUGACCUUUGUGGUGGUGUCUGUUCGUAUCCUGCUUCUCUUUAGUUAUGUUUCUGGGUGUGCUGGGCACUCCUCUGUUUGUUUCUUGGCCUUGGGCCUUGUUGGUUCUAUGAACAUAUGAAACCUAUCCUAUCCUAGGCUCCUUAAUCCUUGCUAAGCUAAAGCUAAAAAGAAGCCCACUAUAUAGAAUGUGAAUAAAACCCGAGUUCCUUCAACUCAUCGUCAAAUCCUCCUCGUUUGCUUUUGAGCCCUUAAUAUUUACUCAUCGCCAUGGGCAAUUCCAUCUCCCACAGGCAAUCCCAUGCCCACCGGACAAGCUCUGUGCAUUAGUUCAAUAAGCCCCUCACCGUUGCUGAGCAAGUCAUCGUGGAAUUCGGGUCUGCUGUCUCCCAAUAAAGGGCAACCCCGGCCCAUUGCCUGCAGACGACACGGAAAAGGUUUACUUAAUGCUGCCAAUUGAGCGAGGGAAACCAGUGUUGUACAUCGUCAUCCUAAGAAAUCCGUGGUGUUCAUUUUACGUGCAAAUUUGGUUUUACAAUCGAUUUCGCCAAGGUUUUCACCUUUGUUUGCUAGAAUAUGCCUGGCAAGUGAUCCCGGGCAAGCUUUCGUGUUGCCAAACAAGGACAAGGAAUAUUUUCAUUACAUUAGAUUGGCGACUGGAGAUUUAAGGAAUUAAUAGGGAGAGAGAUGAUGAGGGAGCUUUCAUAUAGUUUUGACAAUCUAGCUGAAAAUACAAGAAACUUGUGGAAACUUGUGGAAACUGAAUGGUGUGCCAUAUAAGGCGGUUGUGAUGCCAAAAGAAUUUGAAUUGAAGUUGCCAUGGAGAAUCGCCGGUGAAUCUUCCAUGGGGUUUGAGGUGGAAGAGAACCGCUGGGUGUGGAAAGAGAUUUCAGUUUUGUUUAUUUCUUUUUUCAGUUUUAAUCAAAGGGUGAAUUAGGAAUUUUAAGAAAAUAUUUUUUGUAUUGGGUGUAGAAAGAGGUUGAAUGGAUUCCAAUAAAAUUUCACUUAGUUUUAUCUCAGACUGAUGGUAAUUAUGCAAUAGGAUAAAAAAAAUAAUUAAUAUUUAAAAUUUAAGUUGGGGGUAGAAAGAAGUUACAUGGGUUUAAAUAAAAUUUCUCAUUCUAAUUUCGAAUGACCCUCGUGGCUUUUGGUUGAAUGAGUUUUGUAAUGAAGUAGAUUAUGGAAAAAAAUGGAAAUGACUGUCAUCAGUGUUUUUGUGAAUUAAUUUAAUAUUUAUGCCUUGAAUAGAUUUGUGGCCAAUAAAUUAGAUUUAGAAUUCAUUCUUUGAUUCCGUAAUGUUCUCCUUAAUUACUACAUGGAACUUGCCCGGGAUUCUGGAGGCAGACGAAAUGAAUUUCAGAAGUGACAUGAUAUGAGAUGCAUCACAGGAAUGUUUCUGCUGCUACGGUUGAUGAAGUAACCCAUGCCACACUCCUAAGAAAAGCUCCAACUACCUUUAACAGAAGCCGAGUUGAGUAGCUUCUCACUCGCUCAUCUUUCAAAUGGCAUCAAUAAACCGGAUGUCAAAAGAAGGGGGAUUAAUCUGCCACACAUUUAUGUUUGCGUAUUCCUCCAAACAUUGUUUCAGUUGGGCUUCACUGUAUCCCUGUUCCAAAGCAACCAUUCCACAUGGCUUGAGACAAAAUAGGUAGAAUUUCGGACAGGAUCAUCACGUAUUUUCACUUUUGAGAUAUAUUUUGAAUUUCUGCUACUCUGAUUUAUAUAGCUAUAUUCUUAUCACUUCCAAGUUUUGUACUAGUUGUUUGACAUGAUAAGCAGUGCAGUUCUCUGACCAUCGAUCACAAGAUGCUUUGCAAAAACUAACCUUCCUGAAAUCAGUACUGCUGAGCCUUCCAAGGUAAAAGUGCUGCAAAAUUUACCGAAUAACUGAUGGCUCAAGUGGACUGAAACCAAGAGCCGGUGAUACUUUAUUCUGGUGAAAAUAGACAACAUGCCUAGCCAUCUCAACAUCACUAUCCCUAUCUGCUCGAUCCAGGAUUAACCAUCAAGGAUCAAAUCUCGACAAAAGGGCCAGUUGAAGAUUAAUGUUUUCAGCAGGAGUUCUACGCAGGUUAUUUCUCCCCCUUUAAGAAUAUAGCAACCAUAGUAAGAGUUCGCAUAGAUUUUACACGAAGAAAGUUAGCUUCCAGGUUCCAGCAGUAAAAAAGGUACCACAUAACUAGAACAAUAUGAUUUAGAAGAGAAGCAACAAAGAGUAAUGCCCCAAAUGAACCAGAUUAAAAAGAAGUAGAAAGAUUUGUACCGUGCUGGAUUAGCUGCAGCAAGGACAGGAGUUCGUGUAUAAGUGUUACCAUACAUGUCCAGUGACUGAUUAUGCAAUGUAACUUCUGGCAUGAGAUACUAGCUAGUCAAAACAAGAUUAAAAUGCAUAUGAUCCGUUACCGACCACACAAUUAAGUGAAUUUUCACACAUGUAAACCGAAAUUUCAUUCAAACAAGCGCGAUAGGAAUUAGGAUUUUGCUUUGAACUCACAAAUAGCGCUUGACUUCAGGAGGCAUCUUCUGAUGUGGAUCCGAACCAUCCAUAUUCUCUGGUCCAUCAUCAAACCUCUGAGUCAUCAGAAUGUCAUGAUCAUGAUCUGUCUCCGUGGGCUCCGGCAUGAGCUCAUCAAUACCAUCUGCAAAUACACCAAUAUAACGCCCGAGUGUUCACUUCAACUCGAUUGCGGGAUUCUUCAUUCAUUUCUGUGUACUGCAUGUGAGGUAUAAGAAAAUUAACAAGUCGUUCACAAAGACAAUAAUCAUAAUUUAGGCCUUGGCAACAAAAGGCAUAGGCGGAACUUACACUGAACAAGUCCUCAAUAUCAAUCUCGAUAGCUCGAAAUUUGCGGUUUGCAACUUCCUGCUGGAAAGGAAAAUAACAUUUAGAUACUGCUGCAGCAUAAUUCAAAAAAAAAAAAAAUUAGAAAAUGAAUCCGGCAUUCAAUCCAACGGGAAAUUAGGGUUUUCAGACAGCACAGUCAUUGCUUAUUAUAAGAUGUGGUAAUGAAGAAGAUGAGGAGGGGAACUCACAAGGAUGCGCAUAUAUUUGGUUCGCCAUUCGAAUUGGCAAAGUUGGAAAGGAAAUCCUUCGCAAGCUCUGUCAAAAACAAAAAUCAAAAUAAUAAAACGAGAUCGAGUAUUCACCAAGAAGAGAGAGAGAGAGAGAAAGAGAGAGAGAGAGAGUGAUGGGCAGUCGUCACACACAGAGAGACUUGAAAUGAAUGAGAGUUCAGAUUUGGCGGCAAAUGGGGAUGUGGGUGAGGGUUUUUAAACGGUUCAUGUACUUUAGAGUUUGGUUGAAAAAUGAGUGAGCCAAAUUCCGAUUCAAGAGUGAGAUAUCCAUUAAAUAAUUAUUUGUCUACCUGUCACCUGUCAGAAUCAAAUAAGUCAUUUGUAUAUCAAUUAUCUAUUGUAUCUAUUCCUAACAGAGUGCAUGAGGCCUUAGCAGAUUCCCGGUGGAAAGAUGCAAUGAACGAGAAAUUGAGAUCGUUGAAGAAGAAUGCUACCUGGGAAAUAACUGACUUGCCAGCUGGAAAGAAAUAUGUGGGAUGCAAAUGGGUUUAUACGGUGAAAUACAAAGCAGAUGGAACAAUAGAUCGCUUUAAAGCACGAUUGGUGGCUAAGGGGUAUACACAGAAAUAUGGCAUCGACUACAUUGAUCAAUACAAUUCGUGUUCUAUUGUCCUUAGCAGCAAAUCUAGAUUGGCCUUUGCAACAGUUCGAUGUAAAAAAUGCAUUCCUCCAUGGAGAUCUAACUGAGGAGAUUUCAUGGAUUCCACUAGGGUGGAGUGAUCCAGACAUACGGAAACAAAAGGUAUGUAGGCUUAAGAAAUCAUUGUAUGGGUUGAAGCAGUCUCCAAGAGCCUGGUUUGGUAGAUUUACCAAGUCCUUGAGAGCAUUCGAGUAUAGGCAAAGUAAUUGGGAUCACAAGUUAUUCCUGAAACGCCGGAAUGGCAAGGUUACAGCUCUCAUCGUAUAUGUGGAUGAUGUGGUGGUUACUGGUAACGAUCCUGUUGAGCAAGUAGCCUUGAAAAAAUAUUUGUCCACAUAAUUUGAAAUGAAAGAUCUUGGUUCUUUGAAAUAUUUCCUUGGGAUUGAAGUGUCGAGAUGCAAGUCCGAGAUAUUUCUAUCACAAAGGAAGUAUGUUCUUGACCUGUUGAAAUAAACCGUAUGACGGCGUGCAAGCCGGUGUCUACUCCGUUGGCCGAAGGAAUGAAGUUGGGUAUCGAUCAGAACCAAGUAUCGAUUGAUAAAGGGAGGUAUCAAAGGUUAGUAGGAAGAUUGAUGUACUUGGCUCACACUAGGCCGGAUCUUGCUCAUGCCUUAAGUGUAAUUAGUCAAUAUAUGCACAAUCCAGGAGAACAACAUAUGAGUGCACUUAUGAGAAUAUUGAGUUACUUGAAAGGAAGCCUUGGUAAAGGAAUUUUAUUUCAAAAAAAAUGGGCAUUUCAGAAUUGAGUGCUAUACGGAUGCUGAUUGGGCAGAAUCAACAGAUGAUAGGCGCUCAACAUUCGGGUAUUUUACCUUUGUUGGGGGAAAUCUAGUAACGUGGAGAAGCAAGAAGCAGAAUGUUGUAUCAAGGUCAAGCGAAGAAGCCAAAUUUAGAGGUGUGGCACUCUGUAUUUGUGAACUCUUGUGGCUUAAGUUUCUGUUACAAGAUGUGGGGGUCUAACAUAGUUAGCCGACGAAGUUAUUUUGUGACAAUAAAGUUGCUCGUGAUAUUGCUCAUAAUCCAGUGCAACAUGAUAGGACCAAACAUGUAAAGGUUGACAGGUUCUUUAUUAAAGAGAAGCAAGAUAACAAAGUAAUUGAGGUUCCUCCCAUAGGAACGGACAACCAAGUAGCAUAUAUUCUCACUAAGGUGGUUUCUAGUGACAAGUUCUCCAGGUUUCUAGACAAGUUGGGCAUGUGUAACAUCUAUGCAUCAACUUGAGGGAGAGUGUUGACUUGUAUUAGGAUUCCUACCAUAUUUGGUUUCCUGGUUUAGGAUGUAAUUAUUCAUUCCUUUAUUCUGAUAGGAAUAUACAUGAUUGUAUAGGGUUGUAUAUAUACUUUUGUUUUGAGAUGAAAUACAAUAUUCAUUGAAAAGCAUUCUUUCUUCUUUGCAUGUAUAAUAGCAUAGCAUGAAUGGUUGAUAUGACCUAACAAACUAACUCUGAAUUAUGUUCUGUAUGAAAAUAUCUUUGUCUUUUUUUUUUAAUGGCAGCUGACCCUUUUUAACGGGCCUGAUUAUUGGGAGGUUAGUCUUUACGACAGAUGCCUAAAACGUGCUUAUGGCAUUGAGCUGGAUGUUGGUUCGUUGAAGAAUGUUAAUUCGACUUCCACUAGAUCGUCACAUGAUUAAUGAAGAUCCACAACUAUGUAUUAUUCAGAUAAAUAAUAAUACAUAUUUGAUUGUACGCAAAUUGAUUGUAAUUUAUUGAAAGCUUUUUUUUUCGUCAAAAACAAACAUGGAAUUGGAACCUUUUAAAGGUUUAGGGCAAAGGGGUCGGCACUUUGUGGUGGGGACAUUUGGAGCCAACAAAAUACAAUACAAUAUAAUACCGACCUCUUUUUUUCUCUACCUGAAAAAGUCGAGUCGAGAAGGUUCGAUAAGUUCAUCUUUGGCAGCAGCUAAUGGCGUCCGCAUCCUCACCCUCCAUCCUUUAUAUGGGAAUUUGAGGUUCCAAAAGCAAAGCAAGGAAGCCAACACCACCAAUAGGCAAAUUUGACGUACCCAAAACCAGAAUUUUUUUUGGUAUAGUAAGCAGAAUAAACGCUUAGAAUGAAAUACUAAGGGGGUAGGGGAGUCAAACACCUCAUAACCAAAUUUCGGUUUUGCUCAAAUUUCAUUGGCCUAAACCACAAGGCACACAAGGAGGAGUUCAAACACCUCAUAACCAAAUUUCAGUUUUGCUCAAUCCGCAUUAACUUAUAUAUGAAAAAUUCUCUCUUUUUGUUUUUUGUUUUUGAACAAACGGUAUGAUCCACAUUGGGGGUAGGCGAGUGGGCCUUGCCUCAUAAUGAGCUAGCAAUAAUAUGGUUCGACAAAUUCUCAUCUUGACGAGUGUUAUAAAUUUGAUACGUUUUUAAAACCUUACAUUUAGGCAACAAACUAAACAAACAGAUACAACGGAGCACAAUUGGGAGAGGAUUACCACAUGAUUUGAAGUUUUGAACUUACAAUUUUCAACUUCCAAUCCUACUUCUAGUAUAGCGUUAGAUUCGAAUGGUCGACUAUUUCAGAUAAGUCGGAUUGUUAGAACGAUUGGGAGAGGGGUAGAUAGUUGAGAUCUUUGGGGUUUUCUUUGUAGGUGGUAGGAAAGGUGGCGGUGGGGGUUGGUAACGUAGGGGAGCCAAUAGAAAGAGUGGAGAACUAAUAGGAUCGUAGCUCUGGAAUCACUCAACCAGGCAAGAGACUGGGACUCACUAAGCCAGAAAAUCGAAAGAGCAAAGAGUUUGCUAGAAGCUUUCAAUUACAUUCAAAGUCUGACCGACAAUCCCUUUAGCACAAGAAUUAUGAAGGCUUAUAAUAUUAAAAGACUCCUACUUCCUAUGAGACUCUUACAAUCUCCAACAAUAACUUGACAAUUUCUAAGGGACAACUUAAUUAAACCUUGUACUCCUAAUAAACAUGAACUUGACAUUUAAGGACUGUCUGCUGCAUCAAUCUCCCCAUCCCGAAAAAAAAAAACUCGUCAUCGAGUUCGGGAUUGUGAAUUCAUUCCCAUAAGUUAUGAUCAUCUUCUCGCAGUUCUUGUUUGCUGAUUCAUGUAGCUUCGCUCAGGGUUGGUUCUUCCAACGAGUAAGAUAUUGUCCAUAGGUGCCUCGACGAGUAGAGGUUGAACGUUUGUCUAGGAUUUCCAAUGAAUUAGUAUAUGCAUGAGGGACAUUAGUAGUUUCGGGACUUUGUGGCUGUGGGAACUAACUCAGGUUCGCCAUGGAACAAAUAUAGAUCAGAGAUGUUGAAAAUGGGACUUAUUUCCAUUCCCUCUGGCAGUUCAAUUUUGUAAGCAUUGGACCCAGUUUUCUUAAGCACUCUGCAAGCACCAAUCUUCUUCAACUUGUUGUCUGUGGGGAACCUUUUUUUUUUAAAUAAGCCAUCACCAAGUCACCUUCUUGGAACUCCACAUGAUGCCUAUGUGCAUCAGCAGCUCUUUUGUUGUUGUUGUAGGCCCUCUCAAGUCGGACUUGACUUUUGCAUGGAUUUCUUUGAUAUGGUCAGCAAGUUCCUCAGCCUCCAUGCUAUUCCUACCAAAAUGAGGAACAGACACUUGAUCCAAGAUAUGAUUGGGGUUUCGACCAUAAACCACUAUCACCUAAUUUUCGAUUUGUCCUUGAACUUUUUAAUUGGAAAAUUAAGGACUUCACUAAUUUUUUUGGCCGAUUUGCCCUUGCUGUUAAUUUUUCAUUCAUCCCAUCCAAUUUUUUGUUAAAUGGAAGCAUGUGCACAACAUGUGAGGGUAGUUUGGUCGCUUCACUCUUUAAAAUAAUUGAAAACCUUAGAUUUUUAAAAUAUAAACCUAUGCAAAUAUUUGUGAUUAUAUAACUUUUGUGUCUAAAAGUCUAGCGAAGUGAUGCUUUUGUCCACAAAGGAGAAUCACAUGGUGUACACGUGAUAAAAGUUAACGUUAAUUUGGAUAAAAUCUAUGAAAAACUAACGGUAGGGGGAAAUUGACCAAAAAAAAUAGUUUAAGUCCUUAAUUUUCCAAUUAAAAAGUUCAUGGGGAAAUCGAAAGUCAAGUGAUAGUUCAUAAGACAAAUUGGCAAUUUAGCCUAUUAUGAUUAACCCAGUGUGAGACUUAACCCACUCACACAUGCCUUUAAUGUAGAUAAUAUUCUUGUUACAAAAAAUGAUUAUUUGUGUUAGAGAAAUUUUAUUUGGACCCAACUAUCCUAUCUCUACCCCCAACUAAAAAAUUUUCUCUACUAAACUUUCAAGUUUGCCCUUAAAUAAAUAAGAAUAAGAAAAUAAAAGAAAAUAAACAUUGGUGUUUUUAUCUCUACACCCAAUAACUCAAAAAAAUGGCACACAUCUCCACUCCACCAUUAUUUCCCUCGAAACACACCCAAAUGACAACAAAAUAUGCUCCUAAGUUCAUCAACAAGUAAGCUUGCUAAAAACCCGUGUUGCAUGAAACCCUAAGCAGCCCUCAUUUAUAAUUUCAACAGAGAAAACUUCUUACCAAUUCGUUGGGCAUGAAACAAAUUCCUGCAAUAUGAGAAAAAAACUUCCAUGUCAGUGUCUAUUUAAAAGAGAUAGCAACAAGAGUUUCUAGCAAGCUGACUUGUUAGUUUUAAUAAUUUAUGCAAGUAGUCAACUCCUAGAUAAUGGUUCAAACAAGCAAACAUAUCAGCCGAAAACUUAUGUUGAAAUUAUAAAUGAGGGCUGAUAAGGGUUUCUAGCAAGCUGACUCGUUGAUGAACUCGAGAGAAUAUUUUGCUGUUAUUUGGGUGGGUUUUGCCGGAAAUAAUGGAGGAGUGCACCGGUGUGCCAAUUUUGGAGUUAUGGUGUGCACCGGUGUGCUAAUUUUGGAGUUAUGUGGUGUACAGAUAAAAACACCAAUGUUUAUUUUAUUUUAUUUUCUUAUUCUUAUUUAUUUAAGGGUAAAUUUGGAAGUUUGGUAGAUAAAACUUGGUAGUUGGAUGUAGAUAUAAGAUAACUGGGUUCAAAUAAAAUUUCCCUUUGUUUUACGCGGUAUGGCCUAAUUAUCUCCUCGUAACAGUUAGAAUUUAAAAUGAAAAAUUUAUAAUAUUUUAUGGAUACGGAUACCGGCCCGGCCCGCUUGGCCCAUGAAACAAACUCCAAAGCUGAAGCCUCGCUCAUUCUUUCUCUGCGGUUAUAAAAAUUCAAAAUUCAACCUCUUACUUUGUUUGUUUUAAUUUUUAUGAUUUUUAAUUUUCUAAAUUUUUGCUUUCUGUUUGCUUUGGAUCUCAAUAUCUCAUUGCUUACAUGUUGGUUAGGGAAUUUAACAUGUAAUUCACAAAUAGACAGAGGCAGGGGAUUUAAACAUGGGAGUUUUAACGAAAAGUCUACGGUACUAUUCACUUUAACGAAAAAUCAUAUUUUUACACUAAAAAAGUCAAUCCUAAUACUAUUCACUUUAUCCUUUAUUUUGUCCUUAUCGUUAAAACUUAAAGUUUUCAAACCAUUUUUAUUAGUUUUUCUUUUAAACAUAUAUUCCCAGAAUCCUAAUUUGGGUUUUUUUUUACUUUAUUUUUUAUUACUGUUCGUAUGUUUAAUACUUUAUGGGAUAACAAGAUUUAUUAUUGGGUGUGGACAAUUUAAAUUCAGCCUCAGUAAGAUCGAUCUUUUGUGUUCACUUUGGAUUAUGCAGCUUAUUGUGUCUUAUGCGCGCUUAAAGUUAGCUUUCGUUCAUCAGUUUGGACUCCAUAGUAAUCCAAAUGAGCUCCGGGCUAUGGUUUUCUUGUCAUAAACGUUUUGGGAUAUAUCUGGAAUCCUACCCCAGUAGUUUGAUGAUCACGCCCCCAAAUUGUUUUUAACUAAAAUUGUUAGCAUGCGAGUUUGAUGUCUAUUGUAAUUGCCUCAGUUUUGAGAUUUAAGGGUUAGCAUCUAAUUCUGUCAUGUCUUUGUGGUGGGAUUGAAUCGCUUGGAACAGUUUUUUGUUUCCAUUUAUAUUCUCGUUUUGUUUCUGUAAGCCAGCCUUUGUCUUAUCUCGCAGGAACUAAACUUUAAUUUGUAAACUUUUAGUUGGGACGGCUUGUGGAAUUCUUGAACCAGAAUUAUGGCUUGUUUUAGUUACUAUAUUUCCCGUUAUCAGCACGCUCUUGAUGCUGCGCUAACAAGAGAAUUUAUUCUUCAAUCAGGAGAGUAUUAUGUUUUAAUCAUUGUUUUUAUGAUUAAUUUAGUAUUUUAUUAAAUUGAUCUACAUGUUAUUGAUUCAAUUUAAUUUUUCUAUGUUGAACGUGAUACAACACAUUGGAGAUGCAAUUUCGGCUUUUCGAGAAGGAUCUUCUACAAAUUCAAAGGUUUUUGUUGUUUCUGCCAAUUGGGUACGCUUAAAAUAAAGUAAGAUAUUUGAAACAACCAUGAAGCAUGAAAAAAUAUAUAUACAUUACGCAAUUUUUGCUAUGUGGAAUUUGUGAGUCAAAGAAUCGAAAGAAAUUAGAAGCAAUUAGGGUUUUUCAAACCCUAAGAUUGUCGGAAAAAAAAAACAAUAAAAACUUUUGGGAAAAUUUUUGCGGCUAAGCCCAGCCUCGAAACACACCAAGCCUGAAGCUUGGGUAUGCGACUAGACUGUUUUUUUUAGGCUUAAAUUGGACCAAGCCUGCUGCUUGGGUAUGCGACUAGACUGUUUUUUUUAGGCUUAAAUUGGACCAAGCCUGCUGCUUGGGUCCACUGGUGCAUGGGCUACGAGCCCGCUGUCCGUUCCAGAAGCCAGCAAACUUGCUAGACUUCUCGUGCCUUGGCCCAUCGCCAGUAGCCUUUGCGUUACUAGGCCUUCCUCUAGCUCGGCCCGCUUUCAACUGCAAGCUUGCAGCUUGCUUUGUAAACUAGGCUGCACAACAGCCUUUCCCAAGCCCAAUAGCAGCCAAGUUUUUUUUUUCUUGCUUUGAUGGGCUGUUUAUCUUAGCUGUGGCCCACCCUUGCAGCUUAUCUGGGCUGCCUAACGCAGCCUGACCUGAGCCCAAAGGCCUACCAUUUUUACUGCAGGGCCGUGCCUCACACAACCAACCCACAUGUGAUGGACUAUGCCAUUUUAAGUUAUUUUGGACCAUAUGCCAUAUUUUGGCAUCUCGUGCUUCUUAACCAUACCUAAAUAUUUUUUUUGGGGAUAUUUUUUGUUAACGUUUAAUAAGCUAAAACUUGUCACUUGGCCCGCUGCCAAUUAAAACUAAUAAGACCCGCAUGUCAUUAUUUUGCUUCUACGAUCGAUCCCAAAUGAUCCUGAUCUAUUGAAUUAAUUAAAAGUGACCAGCAGUCCAUUAAUCUUACAAGACAUCCAAAAUUAUUGGCCUGAAGCCCACUUUUGGACAUUAACGAUUUAAUAAUUUAUUUCUCUUCUUUGAACCAUUGACUCACUUUCGUGGUCCCGAAGCACUCACACUUGAAAUUCCGAAGAAACUCAAAUCCACUACACUUAAAUCAACAUAUUGCAUUAUGUGUUUUUGUAGGAACAUCUCUUUUAUGAACUAAACGUUCAUAAACUAAAAUUGAACAUGUAGUUUCAAAUUUAAUGUCUUUGAAACCCGAAGUUUUCAUAAAACAAUACACCCAUGAAAACCCGACGUUUUUCAUGAAAACCAUGUUUUUCUCCCACCUUGGGUUUUACCAUAGCGAGGUUUUAUGAGUUUUAUUUUUUUUUAUGCAUUUUUUCGUUGAUUUGAGACUCGCAUUUGCUCAUUGUAUCGACAACUUCAUCAACUGUACUUACUUCAUCGCUAAAGACCUGAUGCACCAUUUACUUGAGUAUUUACACACUCAAAGGGGGCUGUUGCAAUCCUAUUAGAUUAGGAAUGUGAUUAUGUAAAUCCUAGUAGAUCUAGGAAUAUCUCUUAUAUUCCUAUUAGGAGUUGAUUACCUAUUAAGAAUUGUAAUCCUAAAAGGGUAAGGAAUUAACCAUCCCUACUACUAAUAAAGGCACAAUGGGGUGAAAUAGAACACACCCCACAAUUACACAUCUCUCUCUUCUCAAUACUAUUGCCGCACCUCCCUCUCUCUGACCUCCAUAAUUGUUCAGUAAAUUAUGCCUACAACACCUCUUACUUUGUUUGUUUUAAUUUUUGUGAUUUUUAUUUUUCUAAAUUUUUGCUUUUUGUUUGCUUUGGAUCCCAAUAUCUGAUUGCUUACAUGUUGGUUAGGGAAUUUAACAUGUAAUUCACAAAUAGACAGAGGCAUGGGAUUUAAACAUUUAUUCCCAGAACCCUAAUUUGAUUAUUUAUUUAUUUAUUUUCGUUUGUAUGUUUUAUAUCUGGAAUCCUACACCAGUAGUUUGACGAUCGCACCGAGUACCCCAAAUUAUUUUUAACUAAAAUUGUUAGCGUGCGAUGCGAGUUUGAUGUCUACUUUAAUUGCCGGUCCUUGCGAUCAUUUUUGAGAUUUAAGGUUUAGCAUCUCCAGUGAUCAUGAUCGUUCAUUGUAUGUCGUGAACUCCAAUGUACAAUGAACAUAAAUAGUACAUUGUACAAUGAACAUAAAUAGUACAUUGUAAUGAACAUAAAUAGUACAUUGUACAAUGAACAUAAAUAGUACAUUGUACAAUGAACAUAAAUAGUACAAUGAACAUAAAUAGUACAUUGUACAAUGAACCGGCAAUGAUCACUGUACAUUGUACAAUGAUCGGUCAUUGCGAUUAGUUUUGAGAUUUAAGGGUUAGCAUCUCUAGUGAUCAUGAUCGUUCAUUGUACAUCGUGAACUUCAAUGUACAAUGAACAUAAAUAGUACAUUGUACAAUGAACCGGCGAUGAUCACUGUACAUUGUACAAUGAUCUCCAAUGAUCAGUUUUGAGAUUUAAGGGUUAGCAUCUCUAGUGAUCAAUUUUAAAUUUAAAAUGCUUGUGGAAUUCUCGAACCAAAAUUAUGGCUUGUUUUAGUUCUUCUAGUUCCCGUUCACGUUCGAGUUCCAUUUCCACUGGUGAGUAAUUACGCUAGGAAUUCAAUUGUUUAAAUAAUAUGUCAAUCUGUGAGAUGAUUUUGUUUGAUCAGAUAUGAAACAGCCUUUCAAUCUUUUUUUAUAGCCAUUUAUGCUUUUUCUUCUUAAUUUGCAGUACCCCCCACUUACUUUGCUUUAUCUGGCAAAAGGAGUAAGUAUAAAAAGCGCCCUUGUAAUUUAGUUUUGUACACUGCUUGUGCUUGUUAUUGGGGCUUCAAUGCCUAGAAUAAUAAUAAUUUUCUCGCUAUCUAAUACGUAAUUAUUGUAACUAGCUAAUAAAAUGUAAUAUUUCUAUGAGAUAGGUCCUAGUGCCAGUGACGAGGUUGCGGUGAGAUAUCCAAACAGAUGUUCUACGUUUUUUAUCAUUCAAAAUUUCGUGCAAGUGCAAUCGGUCAUGGCAUUUUUGAUGACCAAUGUCAGUGGUUGAUCCGGGUCAUCAGGCUCGCCAAAAAGGCUUAGCUACCAUUAAAAGAGAAAGAUAGAUGCAACACUUGUCAAUAAUUAUGUAGAGACAUGAUCUAACAUCUGUUUUCCAUUCCAAAGAUUGACAAGGCCAACACAAGAAGCAGAACAAGAUAGCAUAUAGACCAUUUUUUUUUCGAUCAAGCAACUUAAAGUACCUCAAUAGCCGCCCGAAGAAACCAAUAGCAUUGGUCAUCAGAAAUGCCACGACCAAUUGCACUUGCACGAAAGUUUGAAUGAUAAAAAACCGUAGAACCUCUGUUUGGAUAUCUCACCGCAACCUCGUCACUGGCACUCGGACCUAGCUCAUAGAAAUAUUACAUGUUAUUAGCUAGUUACAAUAAUUAUGUAUUAGAUAGCGAAUUAGGGUUCUGGGAAUAUAUGUUUAAAUCCCCUGCCUUUGUCUAUUUGUGAAUUACAUGUUAAAUUCCCUAACCAACAUGUAAGCAUUCAGAUUUUGAGAUCCAAAGCAAAAAUUUAGAAAAAUAAAAAUCAUAAAAAUUAAAACAAACAAAGUAAGAGGUGUUGUAGGCAUAAUUUACUGAACAAUAAUGGAGGUCAAACAGAGGGAGGUGCGUCAAUAAUAUAGAGAAGAGAGAGAUGUGUAAUUGUGGGGUGUGUUCUAUUUCACCCUGUUGAUGCACAAAAUCAGCGAGGACUUUGGUACAACAGAAAGUGUUAAGUUUGUGACCUUUGCUAGAUUGCUCCGGUCACUAGUGUGGAUAAGUAUGUAAAUGGAUAAAGACAGGGAAGCAAACACAAGAUGUGCGUGGUUAUCCUAAAUUGGCUACGUCCAUGGAGUAGAGGAGUUCUCAUUAAUUGUGAAGGGUUUGCACAAGUACAUAGGUUCAAGCUUUCCUUUAGUAAGCACUAGUGAAUGAUUUAGUACAAAUGACGUUAGGAAAUAUUGUGAAAGAGAAUGAUCUCCUUUUAUAGAAGAGAGUUUUUAGCUUUGUUCUGACUUUGACACGUAUCGUGCUAUGAUUGGCCUCUGAUGUUGACACUUGUCGUGCUAUGAUUGGCCUCUGAUGUCGACACAUGUCACGCUGUGAUUGGCCUCGGAGGGAAACUCUUGUGGAUCCUUGACGGUAUAAUGUUGACCGGUGCUCAUUAGUUUCGGGAUUUGUCAAGUAUGGUACAAACAGUGCUCCCCUAAUUUUCCGAGUGAGGGAAGCUCCUCGGUUGGGGACUUGCAAGAUCCAAGCCACUGAGUAAUCACGAAGCUUCUAAGUACUGAAGUGUGGUAUCGUUUUCACUUACCUUAUUUGUCUCAUAAGUAGAUGUGGCAUUUUCUUUGGAAGUACUUUUCUUCCAUCAAGGGGUGGUAUCUUUAACUGGGGGAGAUGCACAAGGUAAUGUAUCAAUUUCACUUGAAGCUUACUUGUAGUUUCCAGCUUGGUCAAGUGCGAUACAAACCAUAUAGUAGAAGUCUCCCAAGUCGCCGAGCUAGGAGAUCUACCAAAAGAUGUGAUAGACAAGGCAAGCAAUCAGUCCCAGAUCAGAAGUUUGAUUUCGAGAUCCGGCUGAUUGUUCUCAUUCUACCUAUCUUGCAGGCAGCAAGAAGGAUAAAGAGAAGAAAAAUGAGAAGAGAUGAUAUGAGAUACUUUUGCUUUUGAAGAAGUAACUUUCCACAGGCUUAUUCUUGAACUGGGCUGGAGGGUUUUCUGGUUUCCUCCAGAUUAUAAACUGACUCAAGAAUUUGAGGGUUAAAACAAGUCUAUCAAAUUAAGAGUUCGUUCGACCUUGAUGAUAUGGGAUACUUUUGCCUUUUGAAGAAGUAAUAGAUGAAUCGGCACAUGUCCUGCUGCGCUUGUCUCCAUAUGCUUCAUAGUAUCCUUUUCACUUACCCUAUCUGUUCCUUAGGCAUUUAUGGUAUCUUCUCUAGAAGCACAAGAUGUUGAAGAUGAGUACUCGAGAGCAAUGCUAGGUAAAUAAUCAGACAAGGGGUUCCAGGUAGUCAGUUCCUGAUUGGAAAAUUGAUUCCAAGUGCUGACUGAUUGCUCUAUUUCUUAUUGUCUUGCAGGUAAGAGCAAUGGUAAAUGAAAAGCCAGGGAAAAAGCAUGAUAUGAGAUACUCUUGCUUUCAACCCUGAUGAUAUGAGAUACUCUUGCUUUGGCGUGACUUGUUUGUAGAUGUAUUAUCGGGGGGAAGGAAGCUGAGUAUUUCGAAAGACUUCGUUGGGAGUGCCCUCUCGAAUGUGAGGAAGAGUUGAGCAUUUUUUGCAGGUCUGCCUGGCUGUGGAGGAUGGAGGUUGACAUAUAUAGGAAUUUCCCUAACAACAAGUAGUAAUGCUAUUCAUUUACCUUUCUCGGUCAUAACAAUGUAGUGGGAGUUGCAAGCUUUACAUGUUUUAACUUUGUCAGAGCACUUUGAAAAAGUGGAUUGUGGUAUCCGGAAAGUUGAUGUUGCGUGUGAAGAUUGCAAACAAGUUUUAUCCAAGGAAAUCUAGCUCUUGAAGCUCGGAGAGUGGUGCCUCUUCGAUUUUCGAGCAAGAAGAUAUGUUAAAGAUCUGGCUCUCGAAAUUCAGAGAGCGUUGCCUCUUCGAUUUUUGAACAAGCAAUCCUGUUGAGAGUCUAACUUCCGAGAUUCGGAGAGCGGUGCCUCUUCGAUUUUUGAGCAAGUAAUCAUGUUGGGGGAUCUGGCUAUCAAGAUUCGAAGAGUGGUACCUCUUCAAUUUUUGAGCAAGUAAUCGUGUUGGGGGAUCUGGCUCUCGAGAUUCAGAAAGCGGUGCCUCUUCGAUUUUUGAGCAAGCAAUCCUGUUGGGAAUGUUUUCUCGGAUGUGAGUAAAGGUUGGGCAUUUUUGCCAGUCUGCUUUGCCACUGAGCAUGGAGGUAGGGACUUUACAGUUAUCAAGUAGUGGUGUUGUUCCUUUACCCUUGUGGGUAAUAGUAGGGUAGCUAGACCUUCAAAUUUUAUGUGUUUAAACUUUGUCAGAGAUCUUUGGCAAAGUUAUCUGUGGUACCUGAGGAGCUAAUGUUGCGUGUGGAGAUUGUCGACAAAUCUUACCCAAGAAAAUCUGCUUCUCAAAAUCCGAAGAGUGGUGCCUCUUCGAUUUUUGAACAAAUGGCCUUGUUGCCCUUUCUUUUAUAGGGGCACCAAUUGUGUUCAAGAAGUACGUUCAGAGAGUUACUGCUUGUAGGAAUUCCUCCCUUAUUUUUUUAUUUCUGAGAUUUACUGUUCCUCAUUUUUUCUUCAUUAUUUAUGAAAAUGUCUGGCCCAUCCGACUGUCAUUUAGACUUGAAUGUGGUGGAAGAGGUAGCCAUGUCUCCUCAAGACAACAUAUGGCGCUUAUCCUUCUUAUCCCUUACUGGUCUCCUUACCAUUGGAAACUCUAUGAUGAAGAAUGAUAUGACUGCUGCGGUGGUGGCCAUGAACCUUUUCACUCCCAGAGAUAACAAACUACUUUCCAAACGGUCCGAUGAGUUGGCUGUUAAGGAUUCUCUAGCUCUCAAUGUUCAGUGUGCGGGUUCUAUGUCUAAUAUGGCCCAACGCCUAUUUGCUCGAACCUGCCAAAUUGAAUCAUUGGCGGCUGAAGUGGUAAGUCUCAAAUAGGAGAUCAGAGGGCUCAAGCACGAGAAUAAACAGUUGCACAGGCUCGCACAUAGCUAUGCUACAAACAUGAAGAGAAAGCUUGACCAGUUGCAGGAAUCCGAGAGUCAGAUUUUAAGUGAUCAUCAAAGGUUUGUGAGUUUGUGAGAAAGACAUUUAUUGCAUUCGUCUUCUGGGGCUGUACCACGUACUGAAGCUCCAAAUGAUCAACCUCUGAUGUCUCUUCUUUCUGGGGCUUUGCUCAGUACUGAGGCACUAAAUGAUCACCCUUCGAUACCUCCUAUUUCUGGGGCUUUGCCAAGUGCUGAGACUUCUCAUGAGCAACCUUUGUGAAAGCCCCUUCUUGUUUGUUUGUUUUGAUUCAUGUGUAUGCACGUAUCUGUAAUUUAUUGGAGAUAUCAAUAAAUAAGCUUUACUUCAUUCAGCGUAUUGUGUUAAAUACACUAAGGCAUCCUUCACUAAGUUCUUUGAAUUUUUUCUUUUGUAGAAACUUGUAUGUUGAAGCUUUAUGAGUGAAGCAUGUAGGUUGAGGUAGUGCUCCCUUAAUUUCUCGAGUGAGAAAAACUUCUCGGUUGGAGACUUGAAAGAUCAAAGUCACUGAGUAGUCGUGAAACUUCCAAGUACCGAGGUGUAGUAGCAUAUGGUAGGAGUCCGCUAAGUCUCCGGUCGAGGGAGUUGAUGAAGGAGGUGUCUUGCUAGUAGCUAAGUUUCCAAAGUAACAAACUUCACUAUUUUCCUUUCUAAGUGGUAGCCCAAACUUCUCAUUCAUGUAUAUUUGUAAUGAAAGUUGUUAGGCCCAAAGAAGGGGAGGCCUAGGCUUUUUUUUUUCGAAUUUUUUUUUUUUAAUUUUCAAAUUUUCAAAAGUAUUUCUCUCUCUCUUUUUUUUUUUUUUUUUUUUGGUAUCAUGAAUUGAUUUUGCUUCACACUAUCUUGAUCAAGAUUGUGUGAAGCUUUUGGCAUUUGUAGUUGCCCUCCAUUUGUUGAAGCUUUGUUGGUGAAGCUUGGUGGGUGAAGCUUUGUAGGUAAAGCUUGGUAGGUGAAGCUUUGUAGGUGAAGCUUUUUAGGUGAAGCUUUAUAAGUGAAGCUUUUGUGUUGAAACUUUUUAGGUGAAGCUUUGAGGUUGAAGUUUUGUGUUAAAGUUUUUUAGGUGAAGCUUUGAGGUUGAAGCUUUUGUUGGUGAAGCUUUAUUGGGUACCAUGAAUUGAUUUUGCUUCACACUAUCUUGAUCAAGAGUGUGAAGCUUUUGGCAUUUGUAGUUGCCCUCCAUUUGUUGAAACUUUUGUUGGUGAAGCUUUGUAGGUGAAGCUUUUGUGUUGAAACUUUUUAGGUGAAGCUUUGAAGUUGAAGUUUUGUUGGGUACCAUAAAUUGAUUUUGCUUCACACUAUCUUGAUCAAGAGUGUGAAGUUUUUGGAAUUUGUAGUUGCCCUCCAUUUGUUGGAGUUUUUGUUGGUGAAGCUUUGUAAUGAAGCUUGGUAGGUGAAGCUUUUGUGUUGAAGCUUUUUAGGUGAAGCUUUGAGGUUGAAGCUUUGUAGGUGAAGCUUUAAGGUUGAAGUUUUGUUGAUAAAACUUUUGUGUUGAAGCUUUUUAGGUGAAACUUUGAGGUUGAAGUUUUGUAGGUGAAGCUUUUGUUCAUGAAGCUUUGAGGUUGAAGCUUUGUUGGGUAUCAUGAAUUGAUUUUGCUUCACACUAUCUUGAUCAAGAGUGUGUGAAACUUUUAGCAUUUGUAGUUGCCCUCCAUUUGUUGAAGCUUUUGUUGGUGAAGCUUUGAUAUUGAAGCUUUGUAGUGAAGCUUGGUAGGUGAAGCUUUGUAGUGAAGCUUGGUAGGUGAACCUUUUGUGUUGAAGCUUUGUAGGUGAAGCUUUGAGGUUGAAGCUUUAUUGGGUACCGUAAAUUGAUUUUGCUUCACAUUAUCUUGAUAAAGAAUGUGUGAAGCUUUUGGCACUUGUAGUUGCCCUCCAUUUGUUGAAGCUUUUGUUGGUGAAGCUUUGUGGUGAAGCUUUGUAGGUGAAGCUUUGUUUUGUUGGGUACCAUGAAUUGAUUUUGCUUCACACUAUCUUGAUCAAGAGUGUGUGAAGCUUUUGACAUUUGUAGUUGCCCUCCAUUUGUUGAAGCUUUUGUUGGUGAAGCUUUAAGAUUGAAGCUUUGUAGUGAAGCUUGGUAGGUGAAGCUCUUGUGUUAAAGUUUUUUAGGUGAAGCUUUGUAGGUGAAGCUUUUGUGUUAAAGCUUUAUAGGUGAAGCUUUUGUGUUAAAGCUUUAUAGGUGAAGCUUUUUUGUUGAAGCUUUUUAGGUGAAGCUUUGAGUUUGAAGCUUUGUAAGUGAAGUUUUGAGGUUGAAGCUUUGUUGGGUUCCAUAAAUUGAUUUUGCUUUACACUAUCUUGAUCAAGAGUGUGUGAAGCUUUUGGCAUAUGUAGUUGUCCUCCAUUUGUUGAAGUUUUUGUUGGCACUAUAAAUUGAUUUUGCUUCACACUAUCUUGAUCAAGAGUGUGUGAAGCUUUUGAGAAUUGUGGUUGAACUCCUUUGAUGAAGCUUUGUUGGCACCAUAAAUUGAUUUUGCUUCACACUAUCUUGAUCAAGAGUGUGUGAAGCUUUUGAGAAUUGUAGUUGCCAUCCAUUUGUUGAAGUUGUUGAAUUUCCUAAUUUCCUUUUUUUUUGGGAAAACUGGAAAUUUGAAAAUGUGAGAGAGACAACAUAUACAAAUUUUGUUUCCACACUGUUGAGCAAGAGAUUGUGAUGCAAGCCACACCUUGUAGUAUUCGAAGGUUUGGAUGUACCAUAUAAAUUGAAUUUGCUUCGAACUGUCUUAAUUAAGAGUGUGUGAAGCUUUCUACGAGUUGUAGUGUUUGCAUUGUUACAGAGAAGAAAUGUCUGGAGCAGAUGCAAGAGGGUUGAAGAGCUUGAUCUUCGUAUACCAUGCACUGAACUUGCAAUAAGACUUUGUUAGUGACUAUAACUCUUGUUAGGCAUAAGUGCUCCCCUAGUUGAAUUGUAAAGAUUGAGGGUUUUUUAUUAUUUGUGAAUGCUAGGAGUUCACAUGUACAAGUUGUACCACUCGUCUUCUAGUUGGUGGAAUGAAUAGUGAGUUGCUUUUAUCACUUGGUUAGUGGUACGAAGGUAAGUUCCUUCAUCACCGUUCAUCACAUUUCAUAACCUGGUUGGUGGCACGAAGAUGAGUUCUUUCUUCACCCGGUUGGUGAUAAGAGUGGCAAGUUGCCAAAUAAUAUUAGAGUACGGGUUGUACAUUUCAUCACCUGGUUGGUGGCAUGAAGGAGAGUACAGGUUGUACAUUUCAUCACCUGGUUGGUGGCAUAAAGAUGAGUUCCUUAUUCAACUAGUUGGUGAUAAGAGUGGCAAGUUGCCAAAUAAUAUUAAAGUACGAGAUGUACAUUUCAUCACCUGGUUGGUGGCAUGAAGAUGAGUUUCUUCUUCACCUGGUUGGUGAUAAGAGUGGCAAGUUGCCAAAUAAUAUUAGAGUACGGGUUGUACAUUUCAUCACCUGGUCGGUGGCAUGAAGGAGAGUACAUGUUGUACAUUUCAUCACCUGGUUGGUGGCAUGAAGGAGAGUACGGGUUGUACAUUUCAUCACUUGGGUUGUGACACGAAGGUGAGUUCCUUCAUCACCUAGUUGGUGAGAAUAAGGGCAAGGUGCCGAGACACAUUGUAAUAAGUGUCGAAUGACACAAAGUAUGUUAAACCCUUUCGAAACACAGUUGGCUUAUGUAUGAAUGUGUUGGAAUGUAUGAUAUUUAUGUAUGAAUGUAUUGGAAUGUAUGAUGUUUAUGUAUGAAUGUAUUGGAAUGUAUGAUGUUUAUGUUGAUUGAUAUGAGUGAUGCUUAUGAAUGUUUUACUAUGCAUGAAGGAAUCCAUGCUUUCGAUAUGUGAACCAUGUUGGUUGUAACACUUAGUAUCACUUACUUUGUAUCAAAGUACGCAUGUUGGAGCUCUGAGUUGGAGUAUAGAGGUAGGUCAGCGUAGAUCAAGUGUUCCAAUGCUAGGAAUGCAAAAGACUCAGAAGAAGUUGUCUGAAUUCUCUCUUCUUUAAAUAUUUGCCGAAUGGCUUGUGUGACAAAAGAUUUCAAGCGGUUGAGGGUUAAAACAUUUGUAAUGUGUAUGCCUUCUUAUAAUAGCAUUUCCUUCAGUACCUAGUCUUCCACUUUGAAAGGGUGAGGCUUGGCCCCAUAGUCAUAAUAGUCGACGGUACGUUCAUCCCUGGUUGUCUUGAUACAAACUUUUAUCCCUCUUGUUGUAAUGAGCUUGCUGAGAGUAAAAUCCUUCCUCUUACCAAGAGACGAAUACGUUUGGUGACUUAACGAGUAGCUAAAUGAGGCAGGAGAGGAUGCAAUAGGUGUUUGAAUGGCCAAUAUCUCCUCACUUGGUAGAAAUGAGUAACUAAAUGAGGCAGGAGAUGAUGUAAUGGGUGUCUGAAUGGCCAAGAUCUCCUCACUUGGUAGAACUUGACUUCCAUUUCCCACUUGUUGAUAGGGGUUAACCAUAUGGGGAUUCCCUUGGUAUGUCCUUACCUCGGCAAAUGCAUGAUUGUAAGCUUGCAUCAUUACCUCAGAGUAAGUCUUCCAAGUGUUAGCAUUCAUCAUGUACUUGAAGAAGCAUUCAUGCAUGCCUACCGUGAAGGCCUUGAGUGCUGUUUUAUCAUCUACCUCAGCACAAAGAGAGUACUCAUAGCAGAAGUGACCGGCAUAUUCAUGCAAUGACUCAUUUGAUUUCUGACGAAUAAUGUAUAUCUCAUCAGCGGAGUGUACACGAUCAACUUGGAAGAUGUGUUGAGCCACGAAAAGUCUCCUUAGCUCAGCGAAGGAAUCCACAGUAUUAGGUCGAAUACGACAAUACCAAUUAAGAGCUCCACUAGAGAGAGUUGGGGGGAAUAUGAGAAAUCAUUCCUCAUCAUUGUGUCUUCGGUAUGCCAUGUAUAUUCAAAGAGGUAUAUAUGCUCAAUCAGAUCUUCCCUCCCAGUAUAAGAUUGCAAGCCUAUCUUUUGUUUCGUUUCUCCUUGUAGAGGGGUGCUAAAGAUUAUCUUUGUAAGAGAGCCGGGCCUUGGUUGAUCUUAUCCAGGGAUUUGGGCAUGACGCUCAGCCUUUAGCAUGUUCAUCUCUUCGAGGAGAUGCAGGAUAAAAGGGUCAUGAGUGAAGUCAGGCAUCAUUAGAACUCUCAUUCGCAAGUUUUCCUCAUCCCUUGGAAAUAUGGAAGUUUAGUCAAAGGCAUGUGGCUUUUUCUUAGAUUCACCGUACUGGCUUUCGAGAUGUGUCGUUUGGAAGUCCCCCGAGUCUCCUUCACCUUCUUGUCCCUCCAAAGCAUGUGGUUCCUUUCUUGGAUUAGGCGUUGGCCUACGUUGUGGUAGAGGACCGAGCUCUUCAAUGACUCUUGGGUCUUUGACCCUUGAGCCUAUGUGGAUAAAAUUUUCUCGACGCUGUCUUAGGAAGUCUCGACGGUCACGAUAAACGGCUCUUGAUCUUUCCAUUCCUUCUGCAAGAACGUGCCUUCCUCCAGUUCUCAUACUUCGGGUCGAAACAGCUGGGUUGAGAGAAGUCUCAUGUUAAUCGACAUUUCAAUGAGUAGCUUGCUCCUCGUUAGGAAUACCCAUGUCGAAGGCAAGUGCCCCUCGGUGUUGAGGGGCACCCAGUUGAUAGUUGACUUCCACGGGGGUGAUGAACUCGUGUGUUUGAGUAUGCCUAGCCUCAUGGAGCUUCUCAUACUGCUCCUGGAUGACCUUGUUCUUCAUUGCUAUUUUGUUGUUCUGAGCCUCAAACUCUUCGACUUUAGCUUGAAUAGUGAAUUUCUUUCGCUGCCUUACACUAGGCGCGAUGAGGGUGUCGUUCUGUGUGUUAUGACUUCCUUUGCAUGGUCAAAAGAGAGUGUACGAAUGGUGGAAACCAGCUUGACAAAGCUGAAGAGAGUAUAAAUAAGUGUGUUUCCCACAGACAGCGCCAAAUGUUGAUGCACAAAAUCAGCGAGGACUUUGGUACAACAGAAAGUAUUAAGUUUGUGACUUUCGCUAGAUUGCUCUGGUCACUAGUGUGGAUAAGUAUGUAAAUGGAUAGAGACAGGGAAGCAAACACAAGAUGUACGUGGUUCACCUAGAUUGGCUACAUCCAUGGAGUAGAGGAGUUCUCAUUAAUUAUGAAGGGUUUACACAAGUACAUAGGUUCAAGCUCUCCUUUAGUAAGUACUAGUGAAUGAUUUAGUACAAAUGACAUUAGGAAAUAUUGUGAGAAAAUGAUCUCCUUUUAUAGAAGAGAGUUUCUAGCUUUGUUCUGACUUUGACACGUGUCGUGCUGUGAUUGGCCUCUGAUGUUGACACGUGUCGCGCUAUGAUUGACCUCUGAUGUCAACACGUGUCACACUGUGAUUGGCCUUCUGGUUGGAGGAAACUCUUGUGGAUCCUUGACGGUAUAACGUUGACCGGUGCUCAUUAGUUUCGGGAUUGAUCAAGUAUGGUACAAACACACCUUAUUGUGCCUUUAUUUAUAGUAGUAGGGAAGGUUAGUUCCUUAUCCUUUUAGGAUUAGAACUCUUAAUACGUAAUCAACUCCUAAUAGGGAUAUAAGAGAUAUUCCAAGAUCUACUAGGAUUUACACAAUCACAUCCCUAAUCUAAUAGGACUGUAACCCUCAUCUUUGAGUGUGUAAAUACUCAAGUAAAUGGCGCAUCAGGUCUUCAACGAUGAAGUAAGUACAGUUGAUGAAGUCGUCGACACAAUGAGCAAAUGCGAGUCUCAAAUCAACGGAAGAAUGCAUAAAAUAAAAUAAAAAAACUCACAAAACCUCGCUAUGAUAAAACCCAAGAUAAGAGAAAAACUCAUAGACUAAGGAGAAAAGUGAAAAGUUGCAUUAAGUCAAAACUAUACGUCUUUUGGACGCAAGUAGAAGAGCUCACAAUGGUAUGAUCAGCCCAGGAUGGGCGCCUCAUUAAAACCUAGUUAGCUAGCAAAAACCUAGAGGGAAAAAUGCUCCUAAUCGUAGAGAAAAAGAGUACAUUAAGAUCAAGUGAGUAUACUUCUGGAUACUCCUCUGAGUUUGACAUAACUUCCAAAUGAGAACAACAAGCAUUGCAUAUGAUAGUUAGGCAUAUCAAUUCCUCGGACAAUCUUCUGGAAGGCUGACUUCGGCAGUGACGUUGUGUAGAGGAUGACAAGGUUGUCUGGGAAACCACAUAAAAGCUUAAACUCCGGGUCAUUAGGCUCGCCAAAAAGGCUUAGCUGCCAUGAAAAGAAAGAGAUAGAUGCAACACUUGUCAAUAUUUAUGUACAGACAGAUGAUCUAGCAUCUGUUUUACAUUCCAAAGAUUGACAAGACCAACACAAGAAGUAGAACAAGAUAGCACAUAGACUUUUUUUUUUUUUCAAUCGAGCAACGGAAAGUACCUCAACAACCGCCCGAAGCAACCACUGGCAUUGGUCAUCAGAAAUGCCAUGACCCAUUACACUUGCAUGAAAAUUUGAAUGAUAAAAAACCAUAGAACCUUCGUUUGGAUAUCUCACGGCAACCUUGUCACACUCACUAGGACAUAACUCAUAGAAAUAUUACAUGUUAUUAGCUAGUUACAAUAAUUAUGUAUUAGAUAGCGAGAAAAUUAUUAUUAUUCUAGGCAUUGAAGCCCCAACAACAAGCACAAGCAGUGUACAAAACUAAAUUACAAGGGCGCCGUUUAUAUUUACUCCUUGUGCCAGAUAAAGCAGAGUAAGUGGACUAGGGGUACUGCAAAUUAAGAAGAAAAAACAUAAAUGACUAUAAAAAAAGAUUGAAAGACUGUUUCAAAUCUGAUCAAACAAAUCAUCUCAUAGAUUGACAUAUUAUUUAAACAAUUGAAUUCCUAGCGUAAUUACUCACCAGUGGAAAUGGAACUCGAACGUGAACGGGAACUAGAAGAACUAAAACGAGCCAUAAUUCUGGUUCGAGAAUUCCACAAGCAUUUUAAAUUUAAAAUUGAUCACUGGAGAUGCUAACCCUUAAAUCUCAAAACUGAUCACUGGAGAUCAUUGUACAAUGUACAGUGAUCAACCGGUUCAUUGUACAAUGUACUAUUUAUGUAACAAAUCAUAAUGUAACGAAGGCAGCCAUUAUGGACGCUAUUCAUGUAACAAAACUGAGAUCGGACAUCUUCGACACUAGCAAAAAACAUAAAUCAUAAUGUAAUAAAGGCAGCCAUUAUAGAUGUUAUUCAGGCAUGCGUUGAUACUCAUAACCGUGUUCACUUAUCCAUAUUAUAUUUGAAUAUGAAUGAGGAUAAAUGGUUGAUACUCAUAACUGUGUUCACUUAUCCAUUAAAUUUUAAAAGGAUGAAACUUUUAAGGCUAAACUGCCAAUUUGCCCCCAAAACUAUCACUUGACUUUCGAUUUCCUCCCUGAACUUUUUAAUUGGAAAAUUAAGGACUUAAACUUUUUUUUUUUGCCUAUUUCCCCCCUACCGUUAAUUUUUCAUAGAUUUCAUCCAAAAUAAUGUUAACUCUUAUCACGUGUAUACCACGUGACUCUCUUUUGUGGACAAAAAACGUUACUUCGCUAGACUUUCAGACACAAAAGCUAUAGAAUCACACAUAUUUGCAUAUGUUUAUAUUUUAAAAAUCUAAAGUUUUCAAUUAUUUUAAAGAAUGAAGCGACCGAACUAUUCUCACAUGUUGUGCACAUGCUUCUAUCGAAAGCCAAGUGAUAGUUCAGGAGGUAAAUUAGCAGUUUAGCCUAUUAUGAUUAACCGAGUGGGAGACUUAACCCACUCACACAUGCCUUUAAUGUAGAUAAUAUCCUUGUUACAAAAAACGAUUAUUUGUGCUAUGCGAUAUGGCCUAAUUAUCUCCCGUAACUGUUAGAAUUUAAAAUGAAAAAUUUAUAAUAUUUUAUGGAUACCGAUACCGGCCCGGCCCGCUUGGCCCAUGAAACAAAGUACUAUCUUUAAAAUCCGAGGCACCUUUUCCCCUUUCACUUUAGGGUUUGUGUUCAAUGUCCGCGGAAAACUCCAAAGCCGAAGCCUCGCUCAUUCUUUCUCUGUGGGUAUGAAAAUUCAAAAUUCAACCUCUUACUUUGUUUGUUUUAAUUUUUAUGAUUUUUUUUUCUAAAUUUUUUCUUUCUGUUUGCUUUGGAUCUCAAUAUCUCAAUGCUUACCCGUUGGUUAGGGAAUUUAACAUGUAAUUCACAAAUACACAGAGGCAGGGGAUUUUAAAAUAUAUUCCCAGAACCCUAAUUUGGGGUUGUUUUUAUUUUUAUUUUUUACCGUUCGUAUGUUUCAUACUUUAUGGGAUAACAAGAUUUAUUAUUGGGCGUGGACAAUUUAAAUUCAGCCUCAGUAAGAUCGAUCUUUUGUAUUCACUUUGGAUUAUGCAGCUUGUUGUGUCUUAUGCUCGCUUAAAGUUAGCUUUCGUUCAUCGGUUUGGACUCCAUAGUAAUCCAAUUGAGCCGAGGGCUAUGGUUUUGUUGUCAUACACGUUUUGGGAUAUAUCUGGAAUCCUACACCAGUAGUUUGAUGAUCACGCCGAGUACCCCAAAUUGUUUUUAACUAAAAUUGUUAGCAUGCGAUGCGAGUUUGAUAUCUAUUGUAAUUGCCGGUCCUUGCGAUCAGUUUUGAGAUUUAAGGGUUAGCAUCUAAUUAUGUCAUGUCUUUGUCGCGGGAUUGAAUCGUUUGGAACAGUUUUCUGUUUCCAUUUAUAUUCUCGUUUUGUUUCAGUAUGUAAGCCUUUGUCUUAUCUCGCAGGAACUAAACUUUAAUUUGUAAACUUUUAGUUGGGACGGCUUGUCGAAUUCUCAAACCAAAAUUAUGGCUCGUUAUUAUACUUCCCGUUCACGUUGGAGUUCACGUUGGGGUCCACGCAGGGGUUCAUGUUCGAGUUCCAUUUCCACUGGUGAGUAAUUACGCGGGGAUUUCGAUUGUUUAAAUAAUAUGUCAAUCUGUGAGAUGAUUUGUUUGAUUAGAAUGAAACAGCCUUUCAAUCUUUUUUUUUAUAGUCAUUUAUGCUUUUUCUUCUUAAUUUGCAGUACCCCAAUCCACUUACUCUGCUUUAUCUGGCAAAAGGAGUAAGUAUAAACGGCGCCCUUGUAAUUUAGUUUUGUACGCUGCUUGUGCUUUUUGGGGCUUCAAUGCCUAGAAUAAUAAUAAUUUUCUCGCUAUCUAACACGUAAUUAUUGUAACUAGCUAAUAACAUGUAAUAUUUCUAUGAGUUAGGUCCUAGUGCUUGUGACGAGGUUGCGGUGAGAUAUCCAAACGGAGGUUCUACGGUCUUUUAUCAUUCAAAUUUUCGUCCAAGUGCAAUUGGUCGUGGCAUUUCUGAUGACCAAUGCCAGUGGUUGCUUCGGGCGGUUGUUGAGGUACUUUCAGUUGCUCGAUUGAAAAAAAAAAAAAAAAAAGUCUAUGUGCUAUCUUGUUCUGCUUCUUGUGUUGGUCUUGUCAAUCUUUGGAAUGGAAAACAGAUGCUAGAUCAUCUGUUUCUACAUAAAUAUUAACAAGUGUUGCAUCUAUCUCUCUCUUUUGAUGGCAGCUAAGCCUUUUUGGCGGGCCUGAUGACCCGGAGUUUAAGCUUUUCCGAGGUAGCCUAUGGAAAGAGUGUGGCAUUGAGGUGGAUGUUGAGAAUGGUUCGUCCAAGAAUGAUUCGACUUGCGCUAGUUCGGCUCAGGAUUGAAUAAAGAUGAAGAAUAAAUGUGUGAUUUUGGACCUUGGUGCCGACUAGUGCGUGUAGUUAGCUUUGUUUAUAAAAGUAGUAAAUCCACAUGCAAAAAGGACCAAUUUGCUUUGGAUUAAGGUUAUGUUGGGAGCUAUCUAUGGACUUUACUCAUAUGAUCUGAUAUCAGCUAUUCCUCAUUUUUAAGUCUCCUAUAAUUUAACUUGAAAAUAUCAUUU
rnacentral:lncRNA from 1 species